rnacentral:lncRNA from 1 species
GUCAUCUAAGAAAUGAUCAGCACAACGCAUACCCCCUAACCCAAUUUCUAGAAGAAUUAAAACCACAAUUUCUUGCUCUGCCCAGCUUACCAUAAGUACAAUAUCUUAGACCCUGCUUUCAAUGUGUACACAUAAAUGAAGUCGGCGCAUCUAGUCUCAAAUUCCUUCUUCAAUCCUCUUCACCUUCUGAGCCUUGCUCUCCCCAAAUUCCUUGGCGGCGUCAUAUGAUGCAUGUAAUCCCAACAGCACAUAGUAGACUAACAGAAAGCCGGUCCAGAUCCCGAACCGAAUGAACGAGUCCUUGUCGAUGGACCCGAGAAGGAAGAUGUUGAUGGCGAUGGAGGCCGACGGCAACCACGGGACUAAUGGCACUCCACACAGUUUCGGAUUGCGGGCAUGAGGAACGAACACCCUCAGUGCCUCAAUCUCUUGAGAUUGGAGCACAAGAGCUUCUAAUACAGAUUGCGAGGCUGUUGUGGUAUGACCUUUCGAAUACUUUCAAUAAACUUCAGAGGAUUGUUCACUCACUAAAAGACUGUUCCUGUCAAUUUCUUUAAUCUACACUACCUAGUCCCAGUUUUAGGAAUAAUUCUAGUCGAUCGUUCCGUUUGAUGCAUGGAUGACGACAAUAUAAGAGUUUUCCUUAUGUGAACUACAUUAAUUGAGAUUGUAAUUACCAUUUUACGGGGUUGGUCUAAUAAGGUAAGGCAUAAGGUUUUCUUAAUGGUCGAAUAUAGGCCUGGCAUUGUGUGGACCGAGUUAGGCCAGGCCCGUGAUAAGAUGGCUCGUUCAAAACUCUAUAAAUAGCGCUAAGCUCCCUCCUCUAGCCCUGAUUCUUCCACGAACUCUCUCUCUCACCUCACAUAAGGCAAGUUGUGAGUUGUGAGCUAUGUAGCACCGACACUCUCCAGGAGCCUUCGUAUCGUAUCCGACACUCCGACACGUGUCUGACACGCUCCAACACGUCCCGACACGCGGUCAACAAGUGUUGAAAAAUCUGACACGUGAUAAAAUCUCUCCAACACGCUCCAAUACGUAAGUCCAUAAUUCCAACACGCCAUUUCGACACGCACGGGGUCAAUUUUAAAAAUUUCUAAUACUUAAGGGGUCAAAAUAUAAAUAUACAAAAAAGAAGUAGUAAAAGAAGUAAUAAAAAAUGUUAUAAAUAUACACACACAGGAUCAAUUUUUUUUUUUUCAGUUUUGUUUUUUUAGAAUUUUUUUAUUUUUUUUAAAGUCUUUUACUAUGAAUUAAGUAAUAAAAAAAUGCUAUAUAUUGUAAAUAAAUAAAUUUAAAAAUAUCAUUUCAGCAUUUUUCUUUAAACAAUGUUUUUUUCCUCUAAGUUUUAUGUAUUAUUAUAACAAAUUAAAAUGAUGAAUGAUAUUAUUUUAAUAUUUUUCGUGUAAAUUAAUUCUAGGCUAUUUUAUUUUUUAUUCAUGUAUUUAUAUAUAAAAAUAUAUUUAAUAUACAACGUGUCGGAACAUGUCGGAAUUCUCUAUUUUUAAGAAAUGACGUGUCGACGUGUCGUGUCACUUGUCGCGUGUCCAUGUCAAUGCUAUAUAGAUUGUGAGUGGCGGUCUCAUCGAGCCAGGAACUGAGGGUCAUAGAGGAGAAGAACCUGAGCAUUGGCUCGUCGUUUGAGCGUUGGAUCGUCGUUAUUCCAAGUAAAGAACGUUGGAUUCCAAAUCAGGUACGCAAACCUUUGAAUUCUCCUCCUACAUGUUCAGUUUUCUAGCUACAUCGAUCCUGGGAAGCUGCUUUGGCGGCCAACAUUUGGUAUUAGAGCCUCAUAGCCUAGAACCCGAACUAUUGCUUCUAGCCCAUUUUCGGAAAUUUUGGCCAUUGAAACUUGGUUUUGAAAACAUAUUUGGAUUCAUCUUGUCGAACUAAGCAUUUCAGUGGGUGGCACGCCUCUGGCGGAGACCAAAUAUGUUGGCGAUGAGAAUUUCGAAUUUCACCUGCCCUUGGAACAUUUCACCCGUUUUCAUGAAUUUUGGUCCGAUGAAAGUGCAUUUUUAUUGUAUAAAUGGCUUCUACUCAUCCAUACGAGCAUUUUGGUGGGUAGAAUAUCAUCAGAAGAUGCCGGAAAUGGCCGCACGCUCCACCACGUGUCGAGACGGAGCUCAGAGGCGGUGCCACGCACCGCCCCGCCGCCUCACACGCUCGCACGCGCGCUCAUGCGCACGGUCGCAUGGCCUCACAUGCAUGCAUGCGUGCUCAUGCGCGCUGACGCAUGGACCACCACGCAGCUUCAUGCGAGCGCACUGCCUCGGCGAUGAUGACGUCAUCACGCCGAUUUCGCCACCACCAUGGACAUGUGUCCUAUGAUGACGUCAUCAUGACGUCACGUAUGCCGCCUUACGUGCAAUUGCCACGUGGCAUGUGAUGUCAUUGAUGAUGCCACCACAGACCCGACCUGGCGUUAAUCGGAUCGACAUGACCCGAGUUGAUCGGUUUGACCCGACCGAGGUCUGUUGGGUUGACCGUUGACCAAUUCGGCUCGUUGACCGGUCGGACUAGCUUCGGGCCGAUUUCCGAGCGCCAGCGCGUGCAUAUCACGCGCCACACAUUCUAGAGGCGCAUGGAGGCGCGUGGGAGGUCCGAUUGGAGCAUGGUUUGGACUGUUGUGCUCGUAUGGAUGUUCUCUACACUAUUAUGUGUUUAUUUUAUAUUUUUGAUGAUUUUAUAAAUGUGAAAAUGCAUGUGAAACCCUAAGAUACGUGAUUUUAGGGGUAUUUUUUGGGUAUUUUUUGUGUAUUUCUCUAUGGUUUUGAAAAUACAUUACGAGUUCACAUGUAUAUUAUCACAUAAGGAAUGUGUAGAGCAUUGAUUCAUUGAUAACAUGUAUAAGGUUCACUAUAUAUUAACAAAUAGAUUAAUGUGAUUGGCCUGAAGUGUGAUUUAUGUGACGAAUUGCCCCCAUCAUCAAGUCUAAAAUCACAUGUGAAAGGUGAAUGUGAGUCAUAAAGUUUUAUCCUUAAUAUGAGAUAAUUUUGAUGAUUCAAUUGGGUUGUGACCGCCAAAGUGGCACACUUGAUUGGAUUUGAGAAACAUUGAUCUCAUAUCGUAAUGUAAUGUCUUUUGUUCUGAUGCAUGUUUAUACUCCCAAAUGAGGUAAUUGUGUGUUAGUUCAUGGAAAGAUGCAUGCACAACAUAUGGUUGAGGAGUGACUGACCCUAGUGGUUCAUACACCUGAAGGUAGUGAAUCUGCAAAAGGUUAAAAUAUAUUCUCAUGACCGCUAUCAUGUGGAGAAUAUGCAAUUGCAUGCCAUAUAUUCUACCCAAAGGUAUUUAUAUGAUGAUGUGUGUAACUCUUAGGAUGUGUAUUUAUAAGGUUUUCAAGUUACCUAGUACUCAUAUGGUGCCAAUUACAUAUGUUGCUUGUUAUUAUGUUACAUUAUCUGUAAUGGUAACUCCAUUAUAAUUGAGGUUCCUAUUGGUCAAAUUUUAAGUAGAGAAAAGAUUUUUCUGUUAAGGAUGGAUGCUGGUAGAUGUUCAUAUUGCUCUUACUUUGAAUAAGUGAAGAAUCUCAUUAUUAAUUAUAUAGAAUUAGAAUGUAUUCCUUGCUGCUUAGGAAUGGGAAAUUGAAUUUGUCCAUCAUCAAUAAAGUGUUCUAUUUAAGAACACUUGAAAAUCAUUUACCAGCUGACUGCAUUAUUAGAAUGAUGAUGAAAGCCUUGGUGACUUGAAAUUGUGUCUUGUCUAUUGUCAAGAUUGGUAUAAAUGCAAGGUUUUAAUGAGGUUAAGGAUUACGUCCUACAGAUGGUAGAUUGCAAGUCCAAAAUCAUACUCAUGAAGGAAUUUAUGAAACCAUUGGUUAUUCUGACAAUUUGGUCUUAGGAUAUCAUCAUUAAGAAAAAUGGUAUCAUUCACUGUUUUUGUGAGAAGAAAUGACACAUAAAGACAUUGUAAUGAUAUAAAACUUACUUGUCCAAGCAUGAGUGAGAGAUUGUCAUUCAUUGGCAUUCAUUUAUGAAUUCAAUUCCUAUCAAAAGCCUCAUCCGGUUCUUGGUGGCUAGAUAGUGGUGUAACAUAAUAUUACCAUAAAGGGAUUUAUAAAUCUAAGAAAGCUAAAUUAGAAUGAAUCAUAACUUAUCAUGUAAAACAACAUUUAACGUUGUUUUAGUGGGAGAUGUUGUUUUGACUAUCAAUACUGGUUAGUAGUUAACAUUGAAAAACACUUUCAUGUACCUUCAUUUAGACGAAACUUAGUUUCUAUAUCAUGUCUGGAAGUGUGCAGCUAUUCUUUUGAAACAAAGAAUAUUGUUAUUUUAAUGUUUUCCAAAUCAAAUGAAGUUAGAUGUUGUAAUGGGUCAAAUGAAUUGUACUAGUUGUGUUCACCUCCCAAGGAUAAAUAUGUCGUUUUAAAAUUGAAAAUGUUGUUUCCAAUAGAGAUUUACCUGAAGAACAAUCUUAUGCAUUGUAGCAUGAAUGUUUUGAUUAUAUGUCUAGAGAAAGAGUAGAAAGACUGAUAAUAUUGAUAUUUUGUUUACUCUUAAAUGUUGCCUAAAGACUUAAGUAGACUAUUGUAGAAGUAAGAUGAUAAAGAUAAAGAAGAAAACUGCAGUCUGAAGUCCUAACUUGUUAGAGGUUAUUGACAUUGAUAUUGGUGACCAUAUAUGGUAAAGUUGUAUAGAAAUAUUGACGACUAUUUCCUUUUGAUUAAAGAAAAAUCUGAAUCUUUAGAUAAAUUCAAAUUCUUUUAGACUAAAGCCAAGAAACAGUUGGGAUGAACCUUAAAGAUUGUCAGAUAUGACCACAAUAGUAAUUAUUUUGACAAAUAUGUCAAUAUUUGAUAGCUUAAAGGGCCAUUUGUCAAAUACUUGAAAGAUUCUAGGAUGAUAACUUAGUUUACCAUAUCCGAAAAUCUUGGAACAAAUUGUUGUGGCCGAAAGGCGUAAUUUCAUUAUCAUGGACAUGAUAGUGAGUAUGAUUACUAGGACUAACUUAUCAAGUUUUCUAUGGGCGAAAAGCCCAUUAUGCAUUAAACCGUAUUAUUAUCAAAGGUGUUCUAUGGGCUCCCUUUUGAGUUGUGGAUCAAAUGUAAACUUAACUUGAAGGGAUAUUGGGUUUUAUUAUCCCAAUAGAAGCAUAAGAAUUGUGAAAUCACAGAUAGCGAAGUCUCUAGAGUUCAGUGAAAAUGCAGAAGAUAGUUGCUCUAAGACUAUUAAAGUAAUGGUAUGGUGGAGACCAUUGUGUCUUUAUCUUUCCCUAUACAGAAAAUUGUUGAGUCUUUUAUAGCACAAAUUAAACUUGUGAGGUUCAGGAUAUUGUUAUUGAUAUGAUUCUUGAUGAAGUUUCUCAAACCUCUCGGGUAUAGGAUGAAGUGAUUAUAGCUCUACUCAAGAGAUCUGUUACGGAAAUAUGUUCAGUUAUACCACCAUACUAUAUAGUCUAUCAUAAGAGUAUGAUUACGAUAUUUGCUACGUGAUCGAACUAGUGACUUGUAUGUGCAAAUGCUGUUUUUUGUCCUCGGUCUGAUCUGUGGUUAGACGUAAUGAAAAGACGAGAUGCAAUUUAUAAAAUGUGAUAAUGUUUGGGAGCUUAUUAAAUUGGUUGAGGGUGAGACUAAGAGAAAUUUUAAGGGAAACAUUGAGAAGUUUAAACUCUAAUUGCUAAUAAAAAGAUUUCACUUAGAGAGAAGUUUAAUAUUUUCUAAAGACUAUUUUAGAGUGAAUAUGGUAUUACUGGCUCAUUUUUAUGGAGUUACAUUAGAUAGAUCAUUCUAAUUGUGUUUCUUAAUUAAUAUCCUAAUAAAGAAGUCUAUGUGGUAUAACCCAAAGGUUUUGCAGUGGAUGAUUUAGGUAAGCUUGUGUGUAAACUGAAAACCCUUAUUUAUGGCAUUAAAAGAGUCUGUAGAUCAAAUGAUGCCUGAAGUUUUAUAAUAUUAUCACAUCAUUCAGUUUUAUUGAGAGUAUAAUACAUCACUGUAUAUACUACAAGGUCAGUGGGAGAAAAUUUAGUUUUCUCAGAUUCCUUGUAAGUGAUAAUUUGCUUGCUAUAGCAAUAUAUGAUUACUGCAUAAGAUAAUAUAAAUAUUGUCGAGGAAUUUUGACUUGAAAGACCCUGGUCAAGUACCUUUUGUCAUUGGCAUUGAGAUCUAUAAAAAUCGUUCUUGGCACAUGUUAGACUUAUCUUAGAUUGUAUAUGUUGUUUGUAGUUUGAAAAUAUUCAAUAAGCCAGGACUUGCUGCUAUUGUUAGGGUUGAUAGAUUAAAUAUCUAGCAUUAUCCUUGUUCAAAUUUUGGGAAAAUCCAAAUAAAAGAUAUGCUUUAAGCUAGUGCGUUUACAAGUAUCAUACAUGCUUAAGUUCGCACUAGACUAGAUGUAACUUUUGUAGCAAAACUUUUAGGUAGAUAUCAAUCAAGCCUAAGACAUGAUCACUAGAUUGCUGCUAAUGAGGUUUUGAGACACUGAAAAGGAUAAGAAAACUAUAUAUUGACAAAUAUGUUCAGGAUCUAGAGUUAGUAGGGUACUCGAAUGCAAAUUUUACUAGCUAUAAGGAUAACAAGAAGUUGAUAGCUGUCGCCACCUAAAUUUCGGGUGCACCACUUAAAACUAGGUUAAUGGACUACUAAGUCUUUAAACUCAGCUCGGGCUCUCAUAAACUCAUACCAAUUCGCAAUUUAGAUUCAAAUAUUUAGCAUGCAAAUGAAUUUUAUUUAGGAGUCGCCACUAAUCGAUUUAUGGUAGGUCGAUUAGACACCUAAGUAAAAUAAUGGGAUAAUUAUUUUACUCCUACGACCCAGAGACUAAGGGUAUAGGGACUUGGUUACACUAGAUUUCUUUAAUGCCAUUUCAGUACCAUUUCUUUUUAAUUUUCAAAAACGUUGUUGCAGGUAGCUUGGAUUUAUUUUUACCUAAAUUACUAUCAUGUAAUGGGGUGAUCACACAUAUGCCCAUUCAUUGUUAAACAUUCAAAUAAAAAAUAAAAAAUUGCAUCACACAAAGCAAGUAAUUUUUUUUUUUUUUGAGUUUUCUUGAAAUUAGAAUUUUUUUAUAAAACAUGCAUUUUAACAAAAUGACCUAAUUUUACUAAUAAAAAAAUUCUAAUUAAAUGAUCCUAUUAUGCAAACUAAUUAAUAUGCACCUCAUGACCUAAUUUUACUACUAAAUAAAUUCUAAUCAAGUGAUCCUAUUAUGCAAACUACUUAAUAUGCAUCUCAUAUUUUUUGUAUUUUCUUUAUUGAAAUUCAAAAUUAAUAAAAACCCUAAUUAAAAUAUCUAAAGAAAAUAAUUUUCUAAAUAUUUUAGGGAUUAAUUUGACUUAAACGCUAUCUAAUCUUAGAAAACUAUUUUUUGGAAAAAUGAGACUAAAAUGUGCAAACAUUAUCUAAAACCCUAUUUUUAAAAAAAAAAUUAUUUAGGUCCAACCCUUACUUAUUUAAAAAGAAUUAUCUUAAAAUGCAAUCCUAAAAAUAUAAUCCUAAAAAAAUGAUUUACUAAACCUACAUGUCUGAUUUACUAAGUCUAUAUGCUCAUGCAAGAUUCUGAUUUUUUUUUUUAUAGUUUUUUUAUGAUGAGUAAUUAUUAAAUAGAUAUUAAAUCUAAACAAUCAAUAUAGUCAACAAAUAAAGGAUUAAAAUAACCUAAAAAUAACAUGUUGUCUCACAGGUCAAAUUAAUGAUUAUUUUAACCUUAAUUAUCACGAUAAAGAGUUCAAAAUAAGUAAAAAUCUAAUCAGAUCAAAUUAAUAAUUACAAUGAUUUAACAACCAAAAUAAUACCAAAAAGCCCGAAAAGUAAUAUAAUUAAAAAAAUGAUCCGACAUCUUAUGGAUCAAAUUAAUAAUUAUAAAAAUUCUGGACAAAAUCCUUGCGGAUAGUGCCUACAAAAUUCAUGAAAUCAAUAUUGACAUACUAAGUUCUAAUUUAAACAAUAAUAACAAAACUUAAAAAAUGAUAAUAAAAUAGCAUAAAAAAUAAACAAAUAAAAGUAAAAGUAAAACUAACUACCUAAAUGAAGGGACUUACAGCAGCGUUAGUGGGCGUCGAACGAAUGGGGGCCGGCGUCAGUACCUCGCCGAGGGGACCGAGGCGCUGCAGGGGCGUUGGGCACCGGGCGGUUGCGGAGCAGCGCGGGCUACUGGGGCGAGAAGGAGGACAGUGGCGAGUGGGCUAUUGCAGGGUGAAUUGCAGGUCGCGGGUGAGGCGCAGUGGUGAACGGAGACGCGGCAGGGGCUCGGCGAGGGCGUCAGGCGCUGCUGCAAGCGCGGUUGUCGAGCAAAGGCUGGCAGGCACGGCGCAGUCGUCGGCGCGAGCGGUGCUGGACAACAGAUCGCUAGUCGUCGGGUGCCACAGGUGGAGGCGAGGCUGUUGAAGAUACUAUUACCGAUGCCGAUUGAUCUUAAUUCCUUUGUUAUUUAGACACUUUGUAUUAUAAAUAGAUUGUAAUUACAUACUUAAAGGAAUAGAGAAAAACAAUAUACAAUUCUCCAAAUCUUCAAGUUUUCUAUUUUUCUGACAUGGUAUCAAAGCCUCCCGCCUUGGCCUAGCUUCCGCAACGCCUUUUUUUUUUUUUUUUCUUUAGGGAGGAAUCAUGUCGAAGAUUGAAGAUUCAACUUCCGGUAUUUCUGAGGGAAAUCCACAGUCCCUCAACAAUCAGAGAGGAGACAUCAUCCCUGCAGAACAACAGACGAAUCCAUCAAAAAAUCAAACAGGUCUCGUGCAACCUGUACAGCCCAACACAGGAUUUAAUCCUGUAAAUCCCUUAAUAGGACCAUACAUUCAGUGGGUACCUGUAUCAAUUCAACCAAAUCAAGGAGGUUCGACUCAGAAUUUACCUCAAAUCGAGCCCGGAAGGAUUGGUGGGAUGGAGGAAAAUCCAUCGCACAUACUCGGAGCGGGUCCUGGAUACGGGGCGAACUGGACCUUCAUGAGUCAGAGUGGGUCAGGUCCUGGCUACGGGGCGAGCAGUCCUUACCCAGCCUACGGACCCGGAUUUUUUCCGUUUGCAGGUCUCGGCGGCAGGCCAGAACCUGGAGACCCACUGUACACCACGACCGCCGACGGACCGGAGCUGCGUCUGAUCUCCCAGCAGUUGUCGGGACCGGAGAAUUACUCCCUAUGGUCUCGCGAACUCCGGCGAGUGCUCGUGACCAAAGACAAAGACGGAUUUUUGGACGGCACCGUCUCGAUGCCAUCCGACGAGCGGCUUGCACGACAAUGGCGCAAGUGCAACUAGCUUGUUCGGACCUGGAUAGGAAAUUGCCUCACGGUGGAGGUCGCCGCCGGAGUACCACUAACCGAAGAUGCAAAGAAAUUUUGGGAGAAUUUACGGGAAAUGUAUGGUAAGCUAGAUAGAGCGAAAAUUUUCAUGCUAACGCAAACUUUAUCAGAUCUCAAGCAGGGAAAUUUAUCAAUCUCGACAAUAUAUAAUAAACUCUCUGCCCUAUGGAACGAAAUCGAAAUGACAGAGGAGAAAUUGGAGGGACCCGAGGCGACUUUGGCCCAAUACCGGGCCAUGAAAGAUCGGGAGAAGGUUACCCGCUUCCUGCUCGUGUUGAAUGAGAGCUACUUACCGUUUCGUAGCCAGAUCUUGGCCAUGGAUCUAGUUCCCCUGCUCAGCCGCAUAUACCAACUUGCGGUUCAAGAAGAAUCCCAGAGGCUGGCGUCGUCUGAGUACGUGAAGACUGUGGACCACGUUGUUCUUGCGACCAAGGCCUUGUCGAAGUAGCGACUCAGCUCCGGAAGAUCUGGCCAUGGAGGUUUCUCGAAAAAAACGAGAACGCUAGGGUUAGGGGAGGAAGAAGAGGUUUUUUAUCCAUCUCAAAUGGACGGCCAGGAUUAUUUCGCAAGAUCGGACGGUUUGGGCAACUCGCAAGGAAUGAACGGGUGAGAUUCAAUCUUUGGAUCUGACGGUGGAGGUUCCUUCACACCAUCGGAUGGCUCCUUCGCGCAAUCGGACGGCCCACCUUUCGCCCUUGCAGCGCCCCGAUCUGACGAUGCAUCAGCGUCCGUUUUAAGGCGAUCCAACGGCCAAAAUUUGGCCACAUCCUCGAACGAAAAUAAUUCCAACAAAUGGAAAGGUAAAUUUUGUGAUUAUUGCAAAAAACCUUAUCAUACCAAGAAAAUUGUUGGAAAUUGCAUGGAAGACCAGGGGAGAAGAAGGAACAAGAAUUUUCUAUAGCAGCAAAUGCUAAGGUGAAUGAAUCCAUUAGCAAUGACCAACUGCAACAAAUCAUGAGGACCCUAAAUCAGAUGGGAACUCAGGAAAAGAUGCCUAGUUAUGCAGGUAUUUCUUAUUAUUUGAUGAGCAAUAUUUCAAGCAAUGCAUGGAUUAUUGAUUCAGGUGCCAGUGACCAUAUAGUCUGUAAUGAACGGUUCUUUUCUAAAUUAGAAAAAUCUUCGAAUCAUACUUCUGUUUGCCUCCCAAAUGGCAAUGAUAUUUCGGUAGAUAAAAUUGGGGAUGUUGAGCUGAGUCCUUCCAUCACACUAAAAAAUGUCCUCUUCAUUCCAAAUUUUCAGUUCAAUCUCAUUUCUGUAUCUAAGAUCUGUCAAGACAAUCUCUGUCAGGUCAUUUUUUAUUCUGACAUUUGUCUCUUCCAGGCCCCUUUGACUAGGACACUGAUGGGCUCGAGUAGGAAUUUCGAGGGACUUUAUUUCUGGACGACAUUUCCAAAGAAUUUUUCCUUCAAUAAGAGCAUCUUAUGUAAUGCCAAUCAUAAUAAAAAUGUCUCUUUAUCCCAUCAGCGUCUAGGCCAUAGCACCGCUUUUCCUCAUCCCAAGUGUCCUAUAUGCCCAUUGGCUAAACAGUCUAGAAUGUCUUUUCCACAAAGCACAUCACAUGCUGCUCGAGCCUUCUCUCUAUUACACAUGGAUAUUUGGGGCCCAUAUCACACCCCUCAUCGUGAUGGGUCACGCUUCUUUCUAACUAUCGUAGAUGAUCAUACUCGAGCAACUUGGGUUUUUCUUAUGCAAUCUAAAGCCCAAGUCCUUUCACAUCUCAAAAAUUUUAUUGUCCUAAUCAAAAACCAGUUUAACAAAUCCGUUCAACUGGUUCGUACUGACAAUGCACGAGAAUUCUUUAAUCAUGAAUGUUCUUCAUUGUUCAUUUCCAAUGGUAUUCUUCAUGAAAGCUCUUGUGUUUAUACUCCUCAACAAAAUGGGAUUGUAGAAAGGAAACAUCGUCAUUUGUUAGAAGUUGCUCGAGCUCUUAAGUAUCAAGCUUCAAUUCCUGAAAUUUUUUGGGGAGACUGCGUGGUCACAGCGGCAUACCUGAUCAAUAGAAUGCCAUCUCGAGUUUUGAGUGGAAAAACUCCAUUCAAGUCAUUGUUUGGAAAACGUCCCGACAUUCGUCAUCUUCGUGUUUUUGGAUGUUUAUGCUAUGUAUCUACCACGGGCCCUCGGGACAAAUUGGGUCCCUGUGCCCUCCCUUGCAUAUUUAUGGGAUAUCCUACCCUUCAAAAAGGAUAUUUGGUUCUUGAUCCAUCUACCGGAAGAUUCUUCGUUAGCAGAUAUGUUAUCUUUCACGAAGAUGUUUUCCCAUUCAAGGAUAGGCUAUCAUCACAACAGCAUGAAGAUCCCCUGGUGUCUUCUCGUCCUUUUUUGCAUGAAGACGAUCCUUCACAAGGAUCAAUGAUGAUGCUUCCACAAAUAAUAUCUCCUAUAGCAUCUUCAGAAGUCAAUGCACAUGUUGCAUCGGAUGGGGACAAUGAAAUAUCCAGCCUUCCUUCAUCAAAUAUUUCCGAAGAACCUGAAUCUUCGCAAGCCAAUAUUCUGGCAGACGACACCUCUGCAAACUCACAAGUUGAUGUUUCAUUUGAACCAACUAAUCUUCGGCGAUCAAGACGCACAGUUCAACCACCAACAUGGACAGCGAAUUACGUUUGUUCGUCGUCAAAAAGGUGUGGUACACAAUAUCCUAUUUCCUCCUAUGUCAGUUUUGCUAAUCUCUCUCUUGAACAUAGAUGAUGUGUUAGUAGAAUUUCUGCACAGCAUGAACCUUCCUCUUAUGAUGAGGCUGCCAUGGAUCCUCGUUGGCAACAAGCUAUGAAAGAUGAGUUACAAGCUCUCAUCGAGAAUGAGACUUGGGAUAUUGUUCGCUUACCUUCCCAUCGUCGACCUAUAGGAUGCAAAUGGGUAUACAAGAUCAAACAUAAAGCAGACGGAUCCAUUGAACGUUACAAGGCACGAUUGGUUGCGAAGGGAUUUACACAGAAAGAAGGCUUUGAUUAUAUGGAAACUUUCUCUCCAGUUGCCAAAGAAGUCACCGUACGGUCCUUUCUUUCCAUUUCCGCCAUUCGUGAUUGGCCUCUUCAUCAAAUGGGCGUCCACAAUGCUUUUUUACAUGGAGAUCUUGAAGAAGAGAUUUAUAUAGAUAUUCCACCGGGAUUUCGCAGACAGGGGGAGGGGAGUGUGUGCCGUCUUCGAAAAUCCCUAUAUGAGCUCAAACAGGCUUCUCGUCAAUGGUAUGCCAAGUUUACCAGUGCACUUACAACUACAAAAUUCCAGCAAUCUAAGCAUGACUAUGCUUUAUUCACAUGGAAACAAGGUAUGUCGUCAAUCUAUUUACUUAUAUAUGUUGACGAUAUACUCAUUAUGGGAAAUGAUGCGUCUGCCAUUGAGAGAUUCAAGGAGUAUCUGCAUUCUACGUUUCAUAUUAAGGAUUUGGGAUCUCCCAAAUACUUUCUCGGGAUAGAAAUUGCAAGGUCAAAAAAGGGCAUCUGCCUUAGCCAACGGAAAUUUGUCUUAGAAAUUGUGUCAAAAGCAGGUUUAUCGGGAUCUAGGCCGGCUGUUGUUCCAAUCGAUCAAAAUAUCAAGUUAACAACAGCUGAAUAUGACAAAGGGUUGUCACCUAUAAACAAGGAUCCUUUGCUUAAAGAUCCUUCUGCUUAUCAAAGACUUGUUGGAAAGCUUAUUUACUUGACCAUGACCAGGCCAGACAUUUCUUAUGCAGUUCAGACUCUUAGUCAGUUUAUGCAUGCUCCGAAACAGUCUCACAUGAAUGCGGCACUGAAAGUCAUAAAAUACUUGAAAGGGUGUCCUGGAUUGGGAAUAUUGCUAUCUCGAGACAACAAUAUGGAAAUGACAGCAUAUUGUGACACAGAUUAUGCUACUUGCCAUAUGAGUAGAAGAUCAGUCACAGGAUUCUGUAUAAAAUUAGGGGAUUCUCUAAUUUCAUGGAAGACAAAGAAACAGCCAACAGUGUCUUUAUCAUCCGCUGAGGCAGAAUACCGAGCAAUGGCAAAGACUAGUUGUGAGAUAGUUUGGAUAAGAGGCCUUCUUCAAGACCUUGGUGUACAAAUAAAGGAGCCCACUGUCCUAUUUUGUGAUAAUGAUGCUGCACUUAAGCUUGCAAUGAACCCAGUAUUCCAUGAAAGGACAAAGUAUAUAGAGGUUGAUUGUCACUUCAUUCGAGACAAGAUCCAAAGUGGGGGUGAUCAGAACAAGAGGGAUAAGAACGGCAGAGCAACCCGCGGUCAUCUUUACCAAGGCCUUAUGUCAAAGGUAACAUUCGUAUCUAUUAAACAAGCUAGGCGUCUUCGAUACUGUUGCCGAUGCCGAUUGAUCUUAAUUGAUUUUUGAUUAUAGGGAAUAUUUUAUGUACAUCUUUGGGAUAUUGUGUAUAUUUUUAUUCCUUUGUUAUUUAGACACUUUGUAUUAUAAAUAUAUUGUAAUUACAUACUGAAAGGAAUAGAGAAAAAUAGUAUACAAUUCUCCAAAUCUUCAAGUUUUCUAUUUUUCUGACAGAGGCGAAGGUGCAAUCGCGAAUGAAGGCGCUGAAAAGGCGUCGGUGUCGGGGCUUCUAGCAUCCGGCGAUGCUGGUGCGGGCAUGGAAACGCGGAAGUUGCUAGGUGCGCAAGCGAAGGCUGUUUAGGCGGUGGCGAGUGGCGACAGCAUCGGCUUGCUGUGGUAACGACGUCAAACGCUGGGUCGCGGGCUGCUGUGGUGCGGCGACGGAAGAGGACGGGUGGUUAUAGAGGUGUCGCGCGGUGCUUGCGGACGAGCGACAGGGGUGGUGUCGGCGAGCUUCACGGCGCAGACGCAAGCGAUGGGUGUGGGAGGAAGAAGAUGCACAGUGAUUCUUUCUUUUUUUUCUCUCUCCUCACCUGUCUCUCACGUCACUUCUCUCUCUCUCGCUGCACUCACGUCUCUUCUAUCUCAUUGUUUCUUUCUUUUUUUUUUCUUUUCUUGUCAGAGAAAGAAAAGAGAAACGGUUUUCUCUUUAGACGGAAAGAAAGCUUCUGAAUUUUUUCUCUCAAUUUUUCCGGUCCCCCCCCCCUUUUGGUCACGAAAAUUGUGACUCUUUUAUAGUGAUUUCCAAACAACCGUUUUCCAUGGCAACUUUCGAGUUCCAUCUUCUGUUGCAUUAAACUAAGCCUGCAAAUCGGAGCGUAAUUUCGUGAUCAACUCGAUUUUACUUGAUUCCUUUCAUUUUAUCGAAUAUUUGCCCUUUGUUUACCUGAUUUUUCAAUUGUUUUUAUAUUUAUCAAAAUCUGAAUAUUCAUUAGAAUUUCAAAUUCCCAUACAUAAUCAAUCAAAUCAAUUUUCCAUUUUUUUUUCAUUUUUUUUUCAUUUUAUUUGUUCUGAUGCAUUUUUUUUAGAGGUUAAAAUUAAUCCCUAAUUUUUAUGCAAAAAAUCAAUGACUGAGUCGCCAAAAUUUAGGUGUUAACAAUAGCAUAAUAUAUCUUUGUAUUAGCAGAAGGUGCAGUGUUAUGACAAACCGAUAAAAUAGAAAUUUAUGUUAUCAUUUACCAUAUAAACAUAGUUUAUAGCAUGCCUUUUAGUUGUUACUCAGGAUAUUUGAGUUCAGAACCUCAUUAAAGAGUUGAUCAUAUUUGAUAUUAUAAAUAAACUCAUACGAUUGUGUCGAGACAAUAACUCUUCGGUAUUGUUUGUCAACAACAAUAAGAGUCUCGAGGGGUCUCGAUAUAUAACGGUCAAGUUUUUGACCAUAACAAAAUGAUACAGAAUGGUGAUAUUACAGUAGAGCAUGUUUCCACAAAUGGUGUGGUUGUAGACCCGCUAAUUAAUGUAUUUUGCCCUUGUGUACCUAAGCAACAUGUCAUGACAUGGGUUAAGGAGGAUCAUUGGAUGCUGUUAUUUAGUGGAAGUUGUUUUGAUUUUGCUCUAAUAAAGCUUAUAUGCGUUGCACAUUCAAUAAAGUGUUCAUGAAUGUGUGGUUACCAUAUUGAUUUGGUUAUAUGUAAUGAAAAUCUCAAAGUAUUGUGUAAGCCUUAAGUAAAGGCUAAGGGCAUCUAAUAAUCAGCCUUGAACAUAUGUCUUGAUUACACAUAAAGAAAAGUUAACCAUAAAGAUAAGACAUAUGUGGGUUCAUUAGAACCAUAAGGAUAUUCUCUAGUGGCACAUCCGGUUUUCUGUGACACUUAAGGUAAGAGAAUAGUGACCGACAAGGGAGAUAACACAUAAGGUAUUGCUCUUCAUGAGGUGUUAUUCAUUUGCCACACAACCAUAUUCAAUCCAUAUUAAUAAAGUUGAAAGCAUUCGUAACCAUGGAAGACUCUGUAUGAAUACAUGCAGUUACCGCCAUGAUUCGGUAUUUGAGACUUUAUGGGAUAUGAUUGAUUAUUAAGAAUUGCCACUAGACCAACAUAAAUGUGCGCGCAUAAAGUACAGUCUCAAUUAAUAUAGCUCAAGUGGGAGAAUAUAAGAAUUUUCCUUAUGUGAACUAUAUUAAUUGAGAUUGUAAUUACUGUUUUACGGGGUUGGUCUAAUAAGGUAACGUAUAAGGUUUUCUUAAUGGUCGAAUAUAGGUCUGGCAUUGUGUGGGUCGAGUUGGGCCUGACCCGUGAUGAGAGAACCCGUUCAAAACUCUAUAAAUAGCGCUAAGGUCCAUCCUCUAACCCUGAUUCUUCCACAAACUCUCUCUCUCUCUCUCUCUCUCUCUCUCUCUCUCACCUCACAUAAGGCAAGCUGUGAGUUGUGAGUGGCGGUCUCAUCGAGCCAGGAACCGAGGGUCAUAGAGGAGAAGAACCUAAGCAUUGGCUCGUCGUUUGAGCAUUGGAUCGUCGUCAUUCCGCAUAAAGAACGUUGGAUUCCAAAUCAGGUACGCAAACCUUUGAAUUCUCCUCCUACAUGUUCGGUUUUCUAGCUACCUCAAUCUUGGGAAGCUGCUUUGACGGCCAACAAACAAGUCUUUAGCAUCUAGAUCACCUACUCUGCUUUCUUUAAAAGAUGAAGUGUCGCGAAAAAUUGGCAGUUCCACUGGUUCUUAGGCAUACUAAUUGAUGACUAUGGUUUAGAUGGUUUGAUUUGGACAAAGGGGCGGCGCCUAAUCUGAAAACGUUUCUUCACUACCAAGCUAGGAAUAUCACCUAGCUAUAUCCAUCAAUAAAUAUCAGCACGCCAACCCCCAAAAGGACAACAGUCGAGACACGUUCACAAGGAUCGAUCCCCAGUCAAGUUUCUCAACGAACUAGCAUAUGCCCAUCUUUUUUUUUUAUGGGGAUUUAGCUAAUUCUUCAAUUCAUGCACAUGCAGAUGAACUUGAGCAUGUGACUUUUGAACGAAUCAAAUGGGCCAAGUUCAGAAAGUGAAGAGGAACAUAGCAAAUAGUAAUCAAUAGGGCCUCAUUGAUAAGUGCUACAAGAUCUCAUACAUUGGAACCCAUGGUUAUGCACCCCGAUUCAUUGGUGGUGUGACAUCCAGAUUUUUGGACUCUGAUUUUGAUUAGAUAAAUUGGGUAUUUUAUUGAUGCGAUUACAGUGUUUUCCUCUGAGUUGGCUACUCACGAGAUAACUAGACUAGCUGGGUAAGCUAUUAAGAACUUUAAGGCAGAUAGACUUGAGAAUUCGACCAAAAAUUGAUUUCUUGACCGUGCUCAUCUUUAGAAAUCAUUAUGGUACAGUUAAAAAUCGAAUUAAGAUAAUAGGUUGGUUCGACUGAGAUGUGUGACCGAUCGUGGGUGACUCCACUAAAUUGGAAAACUCUCGUCGACCAACACUAAUUUGAUUUUACUGUCGUUUUGGUACCAUGUGUCCAUAUUUGAAUCCUUGAGAUUUUCACGACAACCGAAAGUCGCCAAUGUGUCGAGUGGGUUCAUCGUGGCCUGAAGAAAAUCAACCACGGGUCAUUUGUCCUAAAAAGUUCUGAAAACUACCAGAUAACCUAGGUCACGCUAAAAACGCGCCCGAGUGAAAUUAACUGUCAAUUUGAGUCCGAUUUCAGAAAUUGAAGAUUCUGUCUUGUCAUAAUAAAUUUUAGGAACAUCGACUCAGUCUCAGAAGAUUUUUUUGACAAUCGAGACUUUUUGGGAAAAAGUCGUUGCCGGGUCAUUUUUGUGCAGAAAAGGCUGAAGAUGGUUUCGAUCGCAAAAUUGAAAUACAAGAUGGGUUAUUGGAUGAGGAAAAGUAGCAAUUUAGACAUUGAGGCGUUGGUUGAUUUUAUGGAGGCCAAUUGAGAUGGAUUUGAUGUGGAUCAAGUGGCCAAUUGAAGCCAAUUCUUACAAAUUCGUACCCUCCCUUAAGCCUAGCAAAAUUGGACCAUUUGAGGAGUUGUGUGGUGUGUUUAUGUGGCCAAAUUGUAGCCAAGUGAUGAAACUUCUUGGGCAAGGUUUGGAAGCAUAUUUUUGUGGAAAAAGUGGGCUUGGUGGAGCCCCUUACCUCUCAUCUCUAUCCAUCUCUCUUUCCCUUAUCCUCUCCAUCAUGCUGCCAUGAGCUGCUUCUCCAUCAUUCUUCCCCCCCCCCCCCCCCCAAUUGGUGCGACAAUUCCGGCAGCAGCACGGAAGAAGACCGAGCGGAGCCCCCACCCAAUCUCUCUCUCUGUGUGCUGCAGUUCAAGACGUCCCAGGUCUGCCCCAUCUCACGCUCCACAGCAGCAAAGAAGUCCGCAAAAGUAGGAGCAGCCCAUGUCUCCGCCUUCAUCGGUCUCUCCUCCCCUCAACUGCCACCUGCCGACUUCUUGGCUUGCUUCGGUCAACAGCAGCAACAACCGAAGCUCCUUGGUUGACCACAAAAGCCCACGCCCGUGCAUGGAUCCACCGCCAACGACAGCCUUAGCUCCUCUCGCUCCCAGCUUUUGUUGAAGCCAUGACUGCCCACAUCUCGGUCAAAUUUCCCAUCGAGUGAAGCUCUUUGGUUGACCGAGCAGCCUUUCUUUGCUACCACUUGGCCGCAUCUGCCUCUCCUUCGGUCAACAAGCGAACACUGAAGACCACCGAGGAAGCCUGCGUCCGUUCGCGAGAAAUUGUCCCCAAAUUUGGUCGGCCACCGAGUCAGCCGAGUUAGGCCAGCGAAGCAGCAUCCACCGAGCAGCUUCCAUCUUCGUCGUGUCUUCAUUUCCACGUAGGCUUCUUCAGCAACAACAACCUAGCGAAGCCACGUUUCUUCUCUUGCGCAUCUCUGGCCCGUUGAAGUGUCGAAGCCCAGCAGCUCUGUGAUUCCUCAAUUGGGCAGCCACGCACGUUCAGCCCAUUUGGGCCGCAAGUCAGGCCCAACGAAUUCAGCUCUUCAGUUGGCAGCCCUUGCUACUUCUUGCUCGGCCCAAAUAUGCAAUCUUCAAGCCUAGUCCAACAGAUUCUUUUAAUUGUUUGGUCCAACAGCCCAAGAAGCUAGCGAAGCCCAGUGAAUUUCGGCCCAAGCCCAAGAGCGAGUUCAGCCCAAAGUAAAGAACAAAUCUCAGUUGGGCUGAGAUUUGUUGGGCCCAAGCUUAAGGCCCGGUCCAAGUCUGCUGGUGUCGUCGAAAGCCCGAUUUCGGCCGCCGUCGCGCAAUCGUCUCGGUGACCCAGUCUCCGCUUUUAAUCAUGUGAGUUUUGCUCACUAAUGCCUUCUUAGUUUGCUAAUUAUACUUAAAGAUUGAUUAGUGCUAGUUAAGUGUAAUUAGGUGGUUAGAUUAGAAUGGAUUAGCGAUUAUUAGUUGAUUGCAUUGCAUAUUAGUUAGACGAUUAGUAUAUUUAGAUAGAUAAUUGCCUAUAGUACUUAUUGGACAUUUCUUGGGAUUUUUCCCGACCCUUAUCGAGUGUUAAUUAGGCAAUUCAGGCCUAAGUGGAAUUUUUAGGAAUUAAAUAUUAAUUUUCGAAAUUAAUUAUUUAAUUAUUUAUUUUCCGGAAAUUUAAUCAAGAUGGCCGGUGACCGGAAUUUUAUGAUGAUGAUUGUGGUGUAGUUUGUUUAUUUAAUUGAGCUUUAGAUGGUGCUAAAUUGAAUUUAUUGUAUUUAUUUAUUUAAUUAUUUAUUUUUCAGAAAUUCAACCGGGAUGGUUGGUGACCGGAAUUUCAUGCUGAUUUUCGUGGUGUAGUUCGUUUAUUUAUUCGAGCCUUAAUUUGUGAGAAAUUGAUUUAUUAGUGAUUUUAGGAUUUAUUCCUAAAUUGAAUAAUCUUUGGUUAUUAAUUGAGAAUAAUUGGGCAUCGGUUGAUAAUGCCACUAAAUCUAAAUUUGCCGAGUGGGGCCGUGAUGUCACUAAAUCUAAGAAAAUUGCUUGGUGGGGCCGUAAUUACCACUUAUAAUUAAGUUGUGUCCUAAGGACCGUGAUUCAUAAUUGGGAAUUGAAUUGGAAUAGUUGAAAUGACUGGAAGUUGUCUUGUUGAUAUGUAAUCGAUUAGGUUGAUUGAUCGUUGCCUUGAUUUGAUGUUGUGGACUGAUCGAUAGAAUGGAAAUGAUCAGUGAAUGAUUCGAUUGAGACAUAAUCGACUAAGUCGAUUUGAUCGAUGCUUCGAUCUGUAAUGUGAUUGCUUAGGUGCCUAUUUGAUAUGUGCUAAUAUGCAGGUGGAAUCUGAGGCCAAGGUAAGUCCUCUAACUCGUGUUGUGUAUAAGCAGCCCUAAGGUGUAUUAAUUUACUAAUUGGGUCUUAGGGGGUAGAACUUGCUGAGACGUGGUAUCAAUGGUUAUUGAAUAACCAUUUCAGGACCUGGAUGAGGAGCCUAAGGAGGAGGAAUCUGACGAGGAGAUCCCUGUUGAGGAACCCGAAGAGGAGUACGUGGAGGAGGACCCCAAGGAUGACCCCGAGUACGACCUGGAUGAGGACUGAGAUCCCGUCCUGUCUUGUCAAACCUUGUCUGCAUGUGAAUAGAUGUUAGAUCAGACUUACGUAUAUAUAGUAUUGUAGAAUACUAUGAGAUGCGUAUAAAAAUGUGUGGUUGUGAAUUUUCAGUAUGAAAAAUAUAUGGCCUGCUUUUCUAUCACGUUGUUUUAUUAUCUAGGGAUUUAUAACUACUUCCGCAUGUGUAUAUAUAAAUGAAAGGGUCGGCGAUACAUAGUCCUGAGAUAUCGCAUUUUAAAAUCGACCGAAAGUAAGGGAUGUGGCGUGCCUGAGGAUCGGGGCGUGACAGGUGAAAUUCUUACUGAACAUAUCCUUGCUCAAAUUACAAUCCUAAUUUUUAGAACCACUUGCAACGGUUAACAACAGUUGUAAAGAAAGCAAACAACAUCCUUCGUGACUACUAGAGUUCGGCAACAUGUAGCAACAUGUGCUCACAAACGGGUUCUCAAAGAUCCAGUGCUUGAUAGUCAUUGCUUCAUCACUCACCUCAUGUCGACAGUUCCGUCCGCAGCUUACAUCCACUCUUCCUGACGGGUGUAAUAGCCCAUGUUUCUCGGCCAUUAUCAGUCAUGGCUUUCGGGAUUUAUAGGUCUACCAUCUUGUAAUCGUGCUGGCUCCACGAUUGAAUGGGUUGUUAUGAUUGAAGCAGAAAUAAUGGGCUUCAUGAGUCGAACACUUACCUCGCUCUUGAUUCAUUCAUCUUCGCUUCGACUUCGGUACUUUUGUUGACUGAACCAAAAUCUCACUAACCGACACUCCGUGGCUUAAUACCUAGUAAUUUUCUCUUAUAUCUCUUAUAUUAUUUGAUUUCUGAGGGAGGAAUAAACUUGGAUUCUUGUGUAUUUGUGAAGUAAUAACUCCGGUUUUGAGGGCCGAGUUGUGAUAUUGAGCUAUUCUUUUAUUUGAUCACGUAAUAAAUUGAGACAUAAUCGUGUGAAUUUUCUUGGCCACUCCUUCAUUGAACCAGAUUUUCCCUGUUUCAUUUGUUUUAUCGGUCUUCUCUCUUUUCUGUACAGUAAGUUGAGACGCGAGUGCGUUUGAGCAGUUAGAGAUGGCUCGCGGCAGCACUUGUUGUCCUAAGAUCCUGAACCUCCCGUUCACGUCAGCCUUCAGGGUUCUUGUGAGUGAGUGCAUUUGAUCCAUUGUUUCGGGCCACCUGCUGCAGUUCUUCUCUGGUGAUCUAAUCUACUUUCACAUUUAAAAGCUGUAUAUAAAGGAAGUCUCGAUAUGAGCACUCGGAUACGUGCUUGGUAAUGGGAGAUAGAGACUGCAGCUUAUCGAAGGAACAGUAGGACUGAAAUAUGCAUCUACAGUCGACGCAGGUCCUGGAAAAAUUGGUGAAUGUGAGUUUGUGCAUGAGACCUGCUAAUGAGUCACGUGAUAAGCCAUAUCUUAGAGUACCUGCACGACUCUUACAAAUAAAAGUAUAAAAAAAAGUUGACAACUUUUGCUAUCCCAGCCCAUCUCUUCCGGUUGGAUCUUCUCCACAGCUCCUCGCCGCCACUGGACUCACCCCUCUCUACCAAACCCUUUCGCACUCUGAAUACUUGCAAAGCUUCUAAAACCGCAAGCUUGAUGAUGUGGUUCCUAUCAUCAAGACCCUCAAGCUGUAGCUGAUGCAUUCAUUCAUUUCCUCUUCUUCUUGUAUUCUGUGUCAUGAAUAUGAAUUCAGGUCGUUCCACCUAUUUUCACAUUUCGUUUACUCCAUAGAGGACUAUUAGGAUGUGAAUCGUGACGACAGCAGAUCAAACAACUGAUCCAAGUCAUUUCAUGAUUUUAUCCUGAACUAGCAUUUUUCUUGUAUGGUCCACAAUCGCAGUGCUUUAGAAACUAUUUUACAUAUCAAUUGCCCGGCUGACGUGGUGUGAUGAGCGAAUCACGAUACUCGCAUAGUAUGAAUCUUAACGACCUUUAUCAACAAAUUUUGACAAAUCUUGUCAUUGAUUAGCUUGGUGCUUUACUCGUCACUGCCACAUGAGACAAUUGAUGAACAAAAUACCGUCUCCAUAGCAUGAUCAACGCAUUAAUAUAGAAGUCUCCCCUCUCAUCAAAUUUAUCUCUAGUAAGAUUGAGUAAAAGUACAAUCUAAUUUCCAAGCUUAACCAAUAGUUGAUGGAAUAUUACAGCUGCAAGUUCUGACGAUAGAACUCAAUCUCUUAGUCAAGACUAUAAGAAUUUCGAAUCUGAUCUCUUUAAAGUACGAUAGUGUAAGACCAAGGCCAAAUGUUCCGGAGUUUAAUGCUUCCUUCUAUUGUGCAUCCCGCACAUAUUGGACUCUAAGAGCACUGAUGUUGGCAGAUGCAAAGGAAGAUAUUUGCUUGUACUUCAAAUAAGACAUUAGAAGUCCUAGGUUUUAGGAGGAUCUGAGUGAGGUGCUGAAUUUUCAUUGUGAAGACGCUGCUCUAAGAAGCGUUUCAGUUGCCUUCCCUGUUCUUCAAUAUUCAUCUGUAGACUCCUCUGCAUCUGUACGGUUAAGGAGGAUGAAAUUAAAACUUGCUUUCAUAUCAUUGUUUUCAUGUGGAGACUUCUGAAAGUUCAGAUGUGUGUGUGUGUCAAUGUGACAGAAGGUGACUUUUGCAGAAUAGCAACCUCCAACUGUUGAAGUAGUCGCUUUUGUACAUUCAACUGCAUCUGCAAGAUUCUAUAAUAAGCUUCUGCAAUCAGCUUGCCUCAGUUGCCAACAAAUAUUCAAUGGGCUUAGUUUCCUCAUAUCAUGAAUUCCUACUUUAAGGCAGAUGGUGGACAUUUGAAGGAUGCAAUCCUCUCAUAAAUAGUGCUUAUUUUGUGCUCUUCUUAAGUCUGUACACUGAGUUAAUAAACAACAAACAAGUCAAAGCUUACAUUUUGAGGUCGUGCACUGGUUUUGUGUCAAAAUUGUUCUUCUCUGAUUUUCCUGCAUGUACAAUAUGAUUCAUGCACAUAAAAUAAGCUGUCCUAUUGCCAAACAAAGACUGGUUACACUUGGAUUUGUCUUCAAUAAUAACAGAGUUCCUGUCUCUUGCAAGGAAUGUUCAUUUGUGCUUAUCGUAGUGGAUGCAAAGAACAACCUUCUUUAGAUUCUGCAAUGCACUUCGCGAUGCGACAUUUCUUUAAUGCAAUAGACAAACAAAGUUUUGGUUUGAAUUUCUGUGACAAAAUGUUAAGUAUGGGCAUUGAUUUUCAGCUAAUAGAUGAAAAGUCAUUAUGUUGCAGUACCUGCAAGUGACUCUUAAUAUGAAAGAUUUUUACCCCCUCGACAUCCAUCAGCUUCAAAAUUAACUUUGGUUUUGCUCCUGUGCCUGUCCAAUAAAUGGUGACUUGGACGUCAGUUGAAGUUAAUAUAGACAUUGACUCGAAAGUGACAUUCUCUAUCCAUUACUUACUUCCAGCUCCUCCCAGACGAUUUACCCAUUCAUGGAAUUGGUUGUGGAGAUGCUGAGUCCAUCUAAUUCUUCUUUUACUAGAAAUAGCAGCUGCUGGUAAAAUGGAGUUUCCACGAGGAUCAUCAUGGGACUGAGGAGCAAGGCACUGCAGGUCUUCUGAAUGAUCAUAAACCAAUGAUUCGCAAUUUAUUGAUCUUGACUGCUGUAAAUUACAUGUAAAUAGGUUACAAGCAUCUAAAUCAACUUGCGGACGGCCAAUGGAACAUGUAACUGCAGUAGGAACAGAAGGAGAAGAUGUGUUAUUGCUUGACUUGUUGUCCGUUGUAUAGAGUUCACUUCUACCUAGAUUUGAGGCAAAACAGCUUUGGCUGUAUCCUAAUUGUGACGCUGGUGAUUGACCACGCCAAAACUGAUGAAAGCAAAGCUCAGAGGAUGUACAGGGGCUCUGUUCUUGAUCAUUACUUUUUGCGGUGCUCAUAUUAGCGCUAUUGCUGCCAGAGGUUUCUUUCUUCAUCACCAUAUGCUGCGAAAAAUAUGGUUCACAAGACUCAUCUCGGCAGUGGAUUGGUAGAUGAGAGGCACAAUGAAAUAAAAAGCUACAGAGUUAUAAUUGUUGGACUUUAGGGAUCAUGAGGCAUACAAAAUGCCUUUCUUGAUCAACAGGAGUAAAGAGAGAGUCUUGCGAUGAACUUCAAGUGGAGAUUAUCAGGGCCAAGGUCGUCAGACGAUGACAGAUCAAUGGUACACCCAAAAGCCAAAGCCCAAUAAUCAUUUGGAGAAAAGUGUCUAUUAAGACAGACAAUUUGCCUAUUAUAUUAUAUUUUUAGUAUAGAUACUCAAGAUAACCCGUGAAUACUGAAUGAUUUGGAUGUGGACACUCUAUACAAUGAACCAUGAUGAGCCCACAAUUCCCGUUUGGUUUGGCAUUUGGAAGGGGCUUUUGCACUCCAAAGGGAUUUGGCUAAAUUUAAACACAUUUGGUUUAAUUUUUUGGACGACUUUGGCAAGAUGUAAUUGCAUCUUCAAAUAGCUUUGGAGGCACUUUAGGAAGUUACAUCUUCAGAAUGCAAGACCCACGGUACUGUUCAUAUUCUUUGGAGAAAUGAACGGAGGCCAACGACCACCGGCCAAGGAUUGGCCGACUUUGGUGACUGUCGCCCAGGGGUUGCGGCCACCUGGCGAUCGUCACUUGGGUCGCGCGACCUUAGGCCGUGGUCGCUUGAGUUCGCGCGACCCAAGCGAUAGUGGCUUGAGGUCAUCGGACCUCAGGCGACGCCUAGGUCGCGCGACCCAAGCGAUGACCGUGUGACCCAGGCAACGACGGCCUAGGUCGCGAACCCCAGGCAUCGCUUGAGGUCCAAUGGCAUCAGGCAACCAUUGCUUAGGUCACACAAACCUAGGCAACCACCGUCUGAGGUCGCUGGGUCACAACCCUAGGCAAGGCUAUCCGGUGGCCAUAUCUAGCCGUCGAACAUUAGCCGCCAGUGGAUAAAUUAAAAAAAAAAAAAACUUUUUUUAUAUAUAAAACUUAGCAAAAGUCUUUUAUAAAAUGUAGUUUUUACCAAACGAUGUUUAAACUAAAAUCGUUUCAUAAUGUACUUUAAAAUUAUAAUUUACUAAAUGCUAUUUGCAUUUUCACAAAUUUUUUUAGCUCAAAGAUAUUUAUAUUUUUCCAAUCACAUUUGCCCGGAGAAGAAGAAGCAAACAGGCCAAUGACCCAAAUACGUCAUUCCAACAGCGCGGGCUUCACACUCUCUCUCUUUCUCUCCGCACACGUCACGCUAUUCUACAUUGACUUGUUGACUUGACGAGUUGUCAUUUUCCACGUACUGCCAUCUUAUCUCGGAUUUUUGAACCGCUUAAAAGGGUUUUGAAUGUUGUAAGCGCGGGCCAGGCAUAUGAACAAAGUGUCUACAUAAGCAUGAGAAAGAAUUUUAUACAUAAUCAAGUGUUCACGCAUUAAUCACAUGCUAAGCAUAAUGCUAAUAUAGAUAUCAACUAAACAAAAUUGGAGACUGCCACGGAGUGGCUGUACAUAUACCCAAAGGGUAUCAGAGAGUUGAUGCAUAUGUGAAGAAAAACUAUCAGGAUCCGACCAUUUAUGUGACCGAAAAUGAUAAAUAAAUAUAUUUACGUCAUUAACGGUGACUUUGCUUGGGUUGACAGGUCACCUAGUAAUUUGCCUUCUAUGCAUUAUUUUGUCCAACCAUAGGAAUGACAGAUGCAAAUAACAAAUCGUUGCCGCUUGAAGAUGCAUUUACAAAUAAAUUGAGAAUAAGUUACUUUCAGCUGCAUCUCUCAAAUCUCUCCAAAGCUAUUGAGUAAGUAAUUCGAUAUCAGUAUUAGGUAUGCAUAGAUGGUAAACAAUGAUGAUAUUUGAUAAAAAGUACCAUACACACGAAUUCGUUGUUGACAGGGAAGGAGUGAAUGUAAAAGGAUACUUUGCGUGGAGUUUCCUAGACGACUUCGAGUGGGUGGAGGGUUAUACAACCCGAUAUGGCCUCGUUUUCGUGGAUUAUGGGAAUGAACUGAAACGAUACAUGAAGCACUCGGCAUGUUGGUUCCAAAGUUUCCUACAAAAGGAUAAUGCAACCGUUAACUACUCCUUGCGGAGCGAUGCCUAGCAGAAGUCACUAAAGCCCAAAUCCGCAAGUCUCUUCCUCGCUGCUGCGUUUCCAAACCCCGUAGUCCCUUUUGGAUAUUAUAUGUACUGAUGUUCAGUUGGGCUGCUCCUCUCCUUCUCUUUUCCUACUUAAAUGAAAUAGAAGGAUGCAUUUUACACCCAAAAAGAAAAAAUUCAAGACAUCAAGAAUUGCAGGAAGCCCGUCAGUUUGAAGAAUAUCCUUUAGAUUAGGUUUUGUCUGAAUGUGAAUUUCAAAUUCGAAUAAAAUUAGAUUUCCUAAUAUCAUUACUUGUCUUUGAUUCCAAUAAAUAAACAAAAUUCAAUAUGUAUGGCAACUUAAUUGAACCAUGGAAUUAGGAAAAUAAUUUGGACUUUUAACUUCUUAGAGAUAUCAAUGAGAUAUUCAUAAAAGGAAAGCUUACUCCUUAAAAAGAAAAAAAAAUGGAACCCUGUUGGAUUUAUAUCUUUUUAGACUAAAAAAUUAUGUUAAGUUCUUCCAAAUUAUGAAAAAAUCACCACAUUUUAAUUUUUAAAAGAAGUUGAUUUUUUAAAUAUUUUUAUGGAUUCAAGGUGUUCAAUACUGAUAAACAUCUUAACUAAACCCCAAAAGAUAAAGAUAGCCAUUGAAUGCUAGAGGCCGAUUAUUUUCAAAGCAAAUAAUAUUUGAUUGAGUAAAUUAUUACAUGUAUGGAGCUGGGUAUGUUCAUAAACUAGUUCAUCUAAACUCUAAGACAUAAAGUUUCAGGAAUAUUCUUCCUAGGUGGAAGACAAAAUUCACCUAGAAACGAGGGAGGCUUUCGGUGGAAAGAUAGAUUCCCCCGUCUCUUAGUCCUCAUUGGGAUGCGGCAAUUAUUUUCAAGGCAAAUUAUAUUUGGUUAAGUAAAUUAUCACGUGCAAGAACCUAAGUAUAUUCAUAAACUAUUUCAUUUGAACUUGUGACGUAAAAUUUUGGAAGUAUUCUUCCUAGAUGGAAGACAAAAUUCACCUAGGAAUAGGGAGCCCUCAGGGAAGGUAGACUCCUCUGUCUUCUAGUCUCACCUAGGUGCGAUGAUUAUUUUUAAGGCAAAUAAUAUCUGAUUGCGUAAAUUUUUACUUGCUGAGGAGGAUUGCUCCUACAAUUCGAAAACCUUGUAUUUGACGCACGAGACUCCGAUAUGGCGAGAGCGACGCUCCUAGAGCAAACAAUAAAAGUUCUUAUCUUGGACAAUGACACCAUUUUUUUCCAGUGCCAAGGAUUCGAAACCAAGUCUACCCCAACUCUGUAACACUAGCUAGUUGCGGGGCCCGCACUUUGUAUGGGCAUGUCAAUAAUCUACUUUUAAAUGUGAUUUUUUUUUGUAUAUAUUAUUUAAGGUUGUAAUCACUGAUGGUAAGAAAUACCAAAUAAAAGACAUUAUUCGAUUGAAAAUAGAAAAUGCGGCUUGAAAGUUUAAAUUCAAUGUUUGCAUAAUAGAUGUGUCGUAAAUGGAUCCAAAAAAGAAGAUUUUGAAAAUGAUUAGCUUCUUCACAAAUUUAAAUUCUAUUUCAUUUUUAAGAGUAUAUAAUUUUCGCUAUUCUACGUUCAUGUUCUUCAAAAUAUCACUUUUAACCAAUCUUUUGAAGGUCUACAGUAAAUCUCCACAUUCUCUUGUUAUUCUAUUCAAACUCUAUUUGAAUUGUAGUGUCUUAAAUAAUCCAUUUAUCAACAAACUAAUAUAUCCAACCCAUCUGUGGGCAGCCGCAUUGGUAUUCGUUCUUCCCUACUUUGAUGCGGUUGAGAGUUCGAAUCCCCGCGGCGCUAGCGAUUUAAGUGGAUGCCCCUAGUGGUGGGUUGCUAGGCUAGCUUCUCCCAAGGUAUAAUCUUUGUUGGGCCUCCACCACGAAGGCCCGUGAGACUCCGAAUCGAUGUAAGCUGAUAAGGGCAUGCUUCGGCGGAUCCUCGGUUACAUAUAUAUAUCCAAGCUUACAAUGAUUCUUCUUGUUGUAAAAUAUUACAUUGCAAAUAUGUAAUAUAGAGAAUAAAAAGAUUAAGGAGAGAAAGUAGGUAAACACCAAAGAUAAUAGAGAAAGUCAGAGGAGAAUAUUUUAUUUCCAAUAUAUCACUGUUUAAGUCUACAACAAAAAUUAAGCUCCUUUUUAUAGGAAAACAAGAAUAUACUUAUCAUUAAUAUCAAUGUAUUGAAUAGUACAUGCAUUGUAUAGGGAGAUGAACAUUCAUUGUAUAGGGAGAUACACUUAGAAUGUAUUAUACAAAUGUACCAUAAUAAUUAUAUUAAAUAAAAUGAAUAUAAUAAAUAUUCAUGCAUGUAUUUCAUAACACUUCCCUUUGAAUAUUCAUUGUAUUCAUUACGAAUGUGCAUCGAAUGAUACUGUCUUAUUAAAAACCUUAAGCCGGAAAAACCCAAUGGGACAAAAACCGGACAAAAGGAAAAAAGAGUGUAGAGCACAAAUUUUAUGAUCUCUCAUUUUUAUGAAUGUAUUAAUUGUCUCGUUAAAAACUUUAAACCGAAAAAACCCUGUGGGAAAAAACCGGACAAAAAGAAAAAAGAGUGCAAUACAUAAUUCAUAAUAUAUCCUCCUCAAUUGAACCAUAUAGCCACUGCUGAGACUAAUUAUUCUUGCUUCUUGUGAACUCGCCGCAUAUCAAUGCCAUAUACUAAUUUCUUAAAAGUUGAUGUUGGCAAUGAUUUGGUAAAAAGAUCUGCCAUAUUAUUUAUGGAUCGAAUCUGUUUAACAUUAAUUUGUCGACUUUCUUGGAGUUUAUGAGUAUAUAAAUUUUUUGGCAAGAUAUGCUUGGUUCUAUCACCUUUGAUAUAUCCUCCCCUAACUUGUGCAACACAAGCAGCAUUAUUUUCAUAAAUUAUAGUGAGAGGAUUUGUAACCGGUAUCAAACAACAAGAAUUAUGAAUAUGCAUUAUAACGGAUCUUAACCAAACACACUCUCUUCCAGUUUCAUAUAAAACAAUAAUCUCAUAGUGGUUAGAGGAUAUAGCUACUAGCAAUUGUUUCGUAGAACGUCAAGAAAUAGCGAUGCCGUUAUAACAAAAUAAAUAACCAGUUUGAGAGUGAGUUUUAUGUGGAUCAGAUCUAUAUCCAGCAUCAAUGUAUCCAACUAAACUAGAGUUAGUGGAAUCAUUGGAAUAAUAUAAUCCAAAAUCUAUGGUUCCUCACAGAUAACGGAAAAUAUGUUUAACUCCAUUCUAGUGUCUCCAAGUUGGCUCAGCAUUAAAACGUGCCAAUAAAUUUACCACAAAAGCGAUAUAUGGUCUCGUACACUGUGCCAAAUACAUCAAAGCUCCAAUUGCAUUGAGAUAUGAUACUUCAGGACCAAAUAUCUCUUCAUCAAAUUCUUUAGGACGAAAUGGGUCAUUUUGGGGAUCUAGAGACCUUACAACCAUAGGGGUGCUCAAUUGGUGAACUUUGUCCAUGUUGAAGCGUUUAAGCAAUCUUUCAACGUAUGAUGAUUGAUUAAUGAUUAUUCUAUUUGCUUUAUGCUCAAGCUCUAGACCAAAACAAAGUUUGAUUUUACCCAAAUCUUUAACUUCAAACUCUAUUUUCAAAUACUCGGCAGUUUUAGCUAACUCUUUUGGAAUUCCAAUUAAAUUUAUAUCGUCGACAUAAACUACUACAAUAGCAAAUCCGGUUUUUGAUUUCUUAAUAAACACGAAUGGGCAAAUAAGAUCAUUCUUGUACCUUUUCUUAAUUAGGUACUCACUUAAGCGUUAAUACCACAUACGACCAGAUUGCUUUAACCCGUACAAUGAUCUUUGUAAUAUUAUUGAGAAUAAAUUGCGGGGAGUGCAUGCUUCAGGCAUUUUGAAUUCCUCAGGAAUUUUCAUAUAAAUAUCAAAAUUUAAUGAGCCAUAUAAAUAUGCCGUCACAACGUUCAUAAGACGCAUUUCCAAUAUUUUAGAGAUUACUUGGCUAAUGAAAAAACGAAAUGUAAUCAUAUCCAUCACAUGUGAAUAUGUCUCAAUAUAAUCAAUCGCAUGUCUCUAGGAGAAUCCUUGGGCAAUGAGUCGGGCUUUAUACCUAACAACAAAUACCCAUUUGUAUCCAACGGGCUUUAUAUUAUCAAGGAUACAAAUUACAGGUCCAAAAACCUCUCAUUUAGAUAGGAAAGCUAAUUCAACCUUAAUUACUUCAUCCCACUUAGGCCAAUCUUGCCUUUGACGGCAUUUAAUAAUAGAUUGUGGCUUACAAUCAUCAUUCAUAAUUUUAUGAGUAACUGAAAAUGCAAAAGUAUCAUCAAUGAUAAUUUCAUUUUGAUCCCAAAUUUCAUUAUAAUAUGUAAUGGAAUUCUCAGUAGUCCCGGGGUAGGUGUUCCUUUCAUGGGUUUGCACAUUUUCGUUUUCGAUGAGCAGUAUCUUUUGAUCCUAUUGAUCUACCACACUUUAAGUGUGGGAGAUUUUGAUCCAUUUUAGCCUGUCCUUCGGGACCAGCUAUCCUAGCCGGAGCAUUUACAGUUGGAAUAUGAGAUUUUGUUAUUUUAAAUGUGUCAAGAAGUCUAUUGGCCAUAACCUAUAAAUGGAUUAUGUGCUACAUCUCGUUUCACACUCAAAAGUCCUUGGAUCUAAUUGAAAUAAAUUUUUCUCAUUUCAGAAGAAAACCUUAAUUGGUUUUUUUCUUGCAGUCAUGGUAGUUGUAGGUAUCUCAAUUGAUGAAAACCUAGUCUCAUCAAAAUAACAAUUUACAAAUCUGGUAGUAUAAAGAUCACCGGUAGUUGGUUUCAAGAACCUAAUAAUAGAUGGUGAAUUAAAUCCAACAUAAAUGCCCAAACAGUGGUGGGGACCAUUUUCGUUCUUUGUAGCGAUUCUACAGACACCUGUACUGCACAAGCAAAGGUUCGUAAAUGUGAAAUAUUUUGUUCAUAACCAAGAACCAUUUGAAUGGAAGAUUGUAAAAGACUAGCAAUAGAACGUAAUCUUAUUAAAGCUGUCACAUGCAAAACUGCAUGACCCCAUGCUGUAUCAUUGAGAUUUGUUCUCAAUAAUAGAGUGCGAGCAAUAAUUUGGAUAUAAUUAGUCAAGAAUUCUGCCAAUUCAUUUUGAAUAUGAAUAUAUGCAACUAGGUGCUUAACCUCGAUUACAAAUGAAGCGCAAUAGGUAUCAAAACUCUUUGAUGUAAAUUCACCAGCAUUAUCCAUAUUUAUACUCUUAAUUGGAUAAUCAGGGAAUUGUGCCCGAAGCUUUAUAAUCCGCGCAAAUAAACGUGCAAAUAUGACAUUAAGCGUAGAUAAUAGGCAAACAUGCGACCAUUUACAAGAUGCGUCCACUAGUACCAUAAAUUAUCGAAAUGGUCUAGUUGGUGGUUGUAUUGGUCCACAAAUGUCACCCUAAAUUUUUUGCAAGAAUAAAGGGGAUUUAAGAUUAACCUUUGUUAUAGAAAGUUUGAUAAUGAGCUUUCCUUGUGAACAAGCCUCACAAUUAUAAUCUUUGGACAACAAUACAUUUAUAUCAUUUAAAGGGUGCCCUUUUAUAUUUUGAAUUAUUGUACGCAUCAUUGAAGCGUCAGAGUGACUAAGGCCAUCAUGCCACAAUCCAAACUGAUCAAAAUUUACCAAUCUCCAGGAUGUUGUGGCGUAGGUUUCAACAUCCUUAAUCAUGACACAAUACAAACUCAUAGAAGAAGCUUCUAACUUCUCAUGGAUGGUCUCUUGCUCAUAAAUAGUUUCAAUAUGGUACCCAUUACAGCGUACAUCUUUAAAACUGAGUAGAUUCCAUUUUGAUCUAAUGCUUAGAACGCAUUCUCAAUAUAUAGAAUGAUGCCAUUUGGCAAAACAAUUGUGGCAUUCCCAACACCAUCAAUAAUCAGAACAUAACUUGAUAUUGUAUGGAUUUGUGUUUUACUCAAUAUCAUACUCGAGAAAAAGUAUCUACUACGAAAUAUAAUAUGUGUUGUUGCACUAUCAAGCAAACAAACAUAUUCCUUUCUUGGUAUUUUCCAUUUGCAUUUAUGUUGACAAUUUCAGGUGUCAAGUAUCAUAAAAUUUGCAUAUUAGUUAUAGAGUUAAAUAAACUUUCAAAAUAAAUAUUAUAUAAGGUUCAUAAGCAUUUCAUAACCAUAUUAGAUAACAAUAAAAAAAUAAUACAUUUAACUAGAAAAGAAAUUAUUAGAAUCAUAGAAUUUGAAGUUCAAAUUAUCAUCUACCAGUUUGAUGCCUCAUCAAAGUAAUCGGAGGUCCUCAAAAAAAUUAGAGACAUCCAGAGAUGCAUUUGCUACUUCAAGAGCAAAAUGAGUCCCAUCAACGGAGAUAUUGUUGGCAUCAAUAGUGGUUAUGGCAGAAGAAUUGAUUUCAAUGGCAUGAGAUUCACCAUGCUUACCCAUAUUUGUUUUGGCGUACAACAAAUACGUGACCAAUGGCCAGUCAUGCCACAUCAAUGACAAAUACUUUCAUUAAUCACCUUCUUUAGCUUCUUUUUUUUUGUCAUGAUUCCGUUCAAAGUUAGAUUUCCUAAGGUGGUUAAAUUUUCUGCCAUCCCUUCUAGGAGUAUGCUCUUGCUUGCACUUAUAACACUUAAAGUGGCUAGUAAUUUUCUCAAAAUUAGCAUAUACUUCAGGCAAUACUUUUGAGCCAGCAAGUCUAAGAUCAUAAUUUUUUAGUAGUAAUUCAUUAGUUUGCUCGGCAGUAAGGAGUACAUAAAUUAAUUUAGAGUAUAUGGCAAAUUGAAUCUACCGGUAUUGCUAUUGCAAUACAAUAUUCGAAACCUGGAAGGUGGAGAAAGUUUUCUGUAACAAUUCUGCAUUAGCGAGUUUGAUACCGCAUAACUCAAACCGAGAAACAAUAUCAAAUAAAGCGGAAUUAUAGUCAAACACUAAUUUAAAAUCUUACAGUAUGAGAUUUUGCCAGUCAUAUUGUGCUUGAGGGAGGAUAACAAUCUUGGUAUGAUCAUACCUAACCUUCAACCUCCUUCACAAGAUCUAAGGGUCUCAAACGGAUAAAUAUUGAGUCUGCAAGCUCUCAUGCAAAUGACGGCAAAUAAAAAUCAGCACAUUAGCUUUAUCUUUUGCAUUUGAGGUUUCAUCAUCUGUAAUUGAUUAGCGAGACCUUACCUUGGAGGUGCAUUUCCAUGUCAAGGCACAAGAUAAAUAAUUCUUUCCACUCACUUCUAGGAUGUGGAAUUUUGGCUUUUCAAUAUUUGUCAUAAUCCUUACAAAAAUAAAUCCUUAAAUUAAUUAAAAGGAUUUCCAAGUAUCCACUGCCACUUCAGGAGCAGAAAGAUACUUUUAGAUUUGAAAUUUGGCUUCGGGCCAAGAAAAAUAAAAAAAUGAAGAAUUGAUAGAAGAAGAUGAAAUAUAAGUUGAUUAAUAAAAAUAAUACAUACCUUGCAAAAAUUACUUACUCAGUUAGUAAAUCUUCGUGCUAAUAAUGUGUUGUAAAAUAUUACGUUACAAAUAUGUAAUAAAGAGAAUAAAGAGAUUGAGAAGAGAAAGUAGGUAAACAUUAAAGAUAGUAGAGAAAGUUGGAGAAGAAGAUUUUAUUUCCAGUAUAUCACUGUUUAUAUCUACAACAAAAACUAAGCUCUUGUUUAUAGGAAAACAUAAAUGAAUAUCUAGUACUUUUAUAAGCUAAUUCCAAAAAAAAUAAAAAAUAAACACCAAUUUUAGGUUUAGUGAUAAAUUUGGCCAUCAAGUUUGUCGGAUUUUUCUAGUUUCUUGAAUAAGAUAAGAUGCAAAGCCAAAGUCCAGUUGGCCGGAUCAAUGAUUUAAGCAUGGGAUUAAUUGCAUAUCGGCGAGGUAGCCCACGAGAGAAAAUCAAACAUGUUUCAUGCACUUAAUCUUAGCCAAGUAAUUAAAGCACAGGUCUAGUCGUGACACACGUUGGCAAGCAUUGAAAAAGAAAGUAUACUUAAAUGAGAGCAGCGCAGGGACCCAUAGUAUUAUUAUUAUUUUUUUGAGUCGGUCGAGGACCUGUAGUGCGAAAGGCGCAUUUCCCCAGCAGAUCAUGUGACACGCGUUGAUCGUGCGGAGGAAUGAAGGUGAUCGAUCAUCUGUAUAUCUAUCUGCAUAUCUAUCUAUAUAUAUAGUCAUCCAGGUUAAUCACGUUGACACUUGUGGCGAGAGAGAUGCAGAGCAUAACAGAGAGAAGGAGAAGGAUGGGGAGCAAGGGCGGCAGCUCUCGAGCGAUAACGUGCAAAGGGGUGGUGUGCUGGGGAGCAGAGGAGGAAUGGAGGGUGGAGGAGAUUCAAGUGGAUCCCCCCAAGGGGAGCGAAGUGAGGAUGAAGAUGCUGUUCGCCAGCAUUUGCCCCACCGAUCUCCUAUACUCCCAGGGUUUCCCUUUGGUCGGUUCAUCCUUUUCCAUAUAUCCCUUCGCCUCUCUCUGUAUUAUUCUCUCUGCUCUUCUGCAGCACCACUGCUUACUCUUUCUCUGAUUUUGUCGGCAUUGCAGCCGCUUUACCCUCGAGUUCUCGGUCAUGAAGGUGUUGGGUAAAGUCCUUCUCUCUAAUUCGAUUCCUACUAAUUCUUCCUUGUUAGUUUUGUCGAUGAGGCGUUGCAUUCCAUCAGCAUAUGUUACAGCUGAUCUCAACAUGACAUGGCAGGAUCGUGGAGAGUGUUGGAGAGGAAGUAGAGGAGUUGAAGGAAGGAGAUGUGUUAUUCCCACCUACGUUGGAGAAUGCAGAGAGUGCGAGAACUGCAAAUCCGAUAGGACAAACUUGUGCCUCCGAUAUCCGCUUUCUGUAAAUGGCGUGUUGCCGGAUGGCACGUCCAGAAUGUCGAUCCGAGGCCAGGCCCUGUACCACCUCCUCUCUUGCUCCACCUGGUCUGAGUACACGGUCUCCGACGCCAAUUACGUCGUGAAGGUCGACCCUGGUGUAGCUCUCCCGCAUGCUAGCCUCUUGUCGUGCGGAUUCUCCACUGGGUUCGGCGCUGCUUGGAUGGACUCUAAGGUCGAGAGCGGCUCCUCCGUGGCUGUGAUCGGCCUCGGUGCUGUUGAACUCGGGGUAUGUGAUCGGUCGUUUGCGUUACUAACUUACAUGUGUAAUAUAUGAAUGCUGUUUUGAGAGGAUUAAUUAGAGAGAAAGCACGGCAACAGUUCAUUUGAUUUGAUCACGAGCAGGCCAUAGGAGGAGCAAGAGCGCAAGGGGCGACUACCAUAAUCAGCGUGGACAAAAACGGGAUAAAAAAGGACAAGGGAGAAGUCUUUGGAAUGACUCAUUUCAUAAAUCCAGACGAUCACAAGUCUUCCGAUGGCACGGAUUCGAAGUCCAUCUCUGAGAUGGUGAAAGACUUGACGGGCGGAGCUGGCGUGGACUACUGCUUCGAGUGCAGCGGAGUACCCAACUUGAUCAACCAGGCCCUAGAAGCCACCAAAGUGGUGAUGAAUCCGUGUCAUCGCAUCAUCGACAAAAUCACAAUCGCGCACGCGCACUCGCGCGUGGCUAAACUUCAUCUAGGCAAGUCUCCUGACUGUAUGAUUUGAUGUGGUCAGGGGAAAGGCAAGGCAGUAGUAUUGGGGGCAGGGCCGACACAUGUCUUGGAGAUUAAUUUCAUGGGGCUGAUGAUGGGCAGAACGUUGAAGGGAACCAUUUUUGGAGGACUCAAAAGCAAGACCCACCUGCCCCUCCUUGUCCACAAAUCCAAGGAUGAGGUUCUGAUCAAGCUCUUUCUUGCCCCCACCAGUUUCAGACCUUUACGCGCACAGCCACUGAAAUUUUGCUUGCUCUGGUUCUGCAGGAGAUCCCUCUCGAUGAACUUCUGACCCACGAGAUGAAAUUGGAGGACUUGCCGACAGCACGUGAGCUCCUGAUGCAAGCCUAGGGGAGGCUUUCUCAAAUAGUAGGAUCGGGAGAGUGACUUGCACACGGAAACAGGACAAACAGGAAUUUCAGCACUGCACGAGCUCAGGAGAAUGGUCGUAUAUUUGUCGAUACAAAUCGGAUUGACCUGAUUCCAAAGCCAAAUGAACAAAGACUUCUGGAUCUACAAUUUCUCUGUUCUGGGUUUUCUGAAAUAAUCACUGUAGGAUAGUCGAAACUGGGUUGGAAGUAACGAACAGAACAGGAAAAGACAGAGACUCCGUUGGUUGCUCUUCUAGGCCUCCAAGGAAGUUGAGGGGCACCGAUUCUUCUAGAUCGAUGACUGCAACUCUUCAAGGAUGCAGAUUUCGAAAGCUCCGACUCUUCAAGGACGGAGUGAAAACUCUUCUAGGUUUUCAAGGGUUGAACUCUUCAAGGUUCAUGAUACUUGCUUCAAGCAAAGCUUUUCAUUAAUCAAAAGUUGUCUCCUUUCUCUACAAGAGAUUGGAUGGCUUAUAUCAUCAAGAAAAUAAAAACAGAGCGUUGAAACUAGGAGAAAUAAAGACAAAGCGUUGAAACUAGGAGAAAUAAAAACGGAGCAUUGAAAAUAGGAGAAAUAGUAAAGAGCAUGGAAACUAUAAACUAGUAAAAGCGUUAUGCGAGCUUCCAAGGUGUUUUAUGUCGAUAUAGCUUCUCGGUUUCGUCGAGCUUGAAUGCGGCCCGACCUUCUUGGUCGGGAAAGCUGGUCUUCAAUGCGGGCUGCAUCAUCCUCCCCAUCUUUAAAAGAAUUCGUCCUCGAAUUCUCGCCAUCAUCAUCAGAAGAAUCUCCCACAUAAGGUGUUAAAUGUCGAACGUUGAAGACGUCGUGAGUCUUCAUAUGAGAAGGAAGAUUUAAUCGAUACGCAUUAGGAUUAAUGCGCUCAAGAACUUCGAGAGGUCCAAGCUUUCGAUCACUAAGCUUGUUAUAAGUUCCAACGGGAUGCCGUUCCGGUGGUAGAUAAGCCCAAACAAAGUCUCCAGGUUCAAAGAUAACUUCACGCCGCUGCUUGUCGAUGUCCGUUUUAUAGGAUUCAGUUUUGCUCUCUAGUCUUUGGCGCACAUCUUCAUGAAUUGUCUUCAUUUGAGAAACAAUAUCAUCGACUUUGCUGCUGGACUUCUCAGCAAAAGGAAUUGGUGCAAGAUCAAGAGCAGUGUUUGGUUGUCGACCAUAUAUGAUCAUAAAUGGACUAUAUCCAGUGCUACGAUUCUCAGCACAAUUAUAUGCAAAUUCUCCAAGUGAUAACCGUGUCUCCCAAGAACGGGGAUUAUUAUCAAUCAAAGUCCUUAAUAGAUUUCCCAAUGUUCGAUUGACGACCUCAGUUUGUCCAUCCGUUUGGGGAUGAAACACAGUACUAUAUUGCAAUUUAGUACCGACAUUCUUCCACAGUUGUCGCCAAAAAUGACUAAGAAAUUUUGUAUCUCGAUCCGAAGUAAUGGUCUUCGGAAUGCCAUGCAACUUAUAGACUUCUUUGAAAAAUAAGUCAGCAAUACGCGAAGCAUCCAUAGUUUUUCGACAGGGAAUAAAAUGUGCCAUUUUGGAAAAUCGAUCGACAACAACAAAGAUCGAAUCCAUACCUCUGUUUGUGCGUGGUAAUCCAAGGACAAAGUCCAUAGAGAUAUCCUCCCAUGGGGCAUGUGGAAUCGGCAAAGGCAAAUAAAGGCCAGCAUUAGUAGCUUGUCCCUUUCCAAUUUGGCAACGUCGACACCUCAUCACAUGUCGAUGUACAUCACGUUUCAAAUGAGGCCAAAAGUAUUUGGCUGAGACGAGUUGUACAGUUUUGUUGCGCCCAAAAUGUCCUUCAUGGUGAACUUCAUCGAUCACCCGCUACCGAAGAGAACAGUCCGGCACACAUAAACGGUUUCCUUUGAAAAGAAAACCAUCACAUACAGUAAAAUCAGCAAGCUUCUUUUCAUGUGCAUCGGGAAUGAUCUUGGAAAAGUAGGGGUCUUCUUGAUAUAACUCCUUAAAGGAAUCAAAUCCAAGAACAGUAGAAUGCAUUGUAGAGAGCAAACUCUUCUUUCGACUAAGGGCAUCGGCAACCUGAUUCUGAGCUCCAGCCUUAUGCUUAAUAAUGAAAGCAAACUCUUGGAUGUAUUCAGCCCAUUUUGCACGCCUGGAGUUAAGUUUUUGCUGUCCAGAAAUAUACUUCAGAGCUUCAUGAUCAGUAUAUAAAAUAAACUCUCGAUGAAUAAGAUAUGGCCGCCAAUACUCAAGUGUGCGAAAUAAGGCGUAGAAUUCCAAAUCAUAGGUGCUGUAACGAAGUUUGGCACCAUUCAAUUUUUCACUAAAGAAGGCGAUGGGUCGACCUCCUUGACUUAGAACUCCUCCUAUGCCAGUACCUGAUGCAUCACAAUGCACUUCAAAAACAAGAUCAAAAUUAGGCAAUGCAAGUACCGGGGCUAUGCUCAAUUUUUCUUUGAGCUGUUCAAAACUUUUAUGAGCUGCAUUCGUCCAUUCGAAAACUCCCUUCUUCAUGCAAGAAGUGAGUGGGGCCGCAAUGGUGCUAAAAUGCGCAAUAAAUCGUCGAUAGAACGAAGCGAGGCCAUGAAAACUUCGCACUUCAUGCACAUUUGUUGGAGUUGGCCAUUCUCGAAUCACCUUGAUCUUAGAAUCAUCCACCGAAAUGCCAUUCUUCGAAAUAUGAAACCCCAAGAAAAGGAUUUGUGGUACCAUAAAAUAGCACUUGUCGAGAGCCGCAUACAAUUGUUCCUGCCUCAGCACACAUAAUACUUCUUGAAGAUGCUGCAAGUGUUCAUCAGUAGAUUUGCUAAAAAUCAGGAUAUCAUCAAAAUAAACAACAACAAACCUUCCCAGAAAAGGCUUCAACACCUGAGUCAUAAACCUCAUGAAUGUCGAUGGUGCAUUCGAUAAUCCGAAUGGCAUGACUAGCCAUUCAUAUAGCCCAUCUUUCGUUUUGAAUGCUGUCUUCCAUUCAUCUCCGGGUUUGAUUCUAAUUUGAUGAUAUCCACUCUUCAAAUCCAGCUUUGAGAAUAUAUUUGCACCAGAAAGUUGAUCUAAGAGAUCAUCAAGUCGAGGAAUAGGAAAUCGAUAUUUGAUGGUGAUCUUGUUGAUCGCUCUACUGUCGACACACAUCCUCCAAGUACCAUUUUUCUUAGGCACUAAAAGAGCUGGAACAGCACACGGACUAAGGCUCUCCCUUAUAAAACCCUUAUUCAAUAGCUCCAUAACUUGUCGAUGCAAUUCCUCAUGUUCAGUCGGACUCAUCCGGUAAUGAGCGAGAUUCGGCAAAGAGGCUCCGGGCAACAAGUCAAUUUGAUGCUGAAUAUCUCUCAUAGGAGGGAGACCAUUGGGUAAGUCCAUCGGGAAGACAUCCUUGAAUUCUUCCAAAAGAGGUUGAACUCGAUGAGGUACAACAGAGGCAACUUCAUUCUUCCCACCUGUUUUAUUGAGCAAAAUAUACAAGAUACGAACUCCUUUCAAAGCAUCCUUCAUAUCCUUCAUUGUAAGCAACGUAGGGGAGAAGGAAUUCUCAACUACAGGAGUUUUCACAGGUUCCCUACUAGGUGUCAACGUAAUUUUCUUGCCUCCAAAUUCAAAAGAAUAUGUAUUUCGAUAACCGUCAUGUGUAGUCCUCCUAUCGAAUUGCCAUGGUCGACCAAGAAUAAGGUGACUAGCAUCCAUCGGCAGAACAUCACACCAUAUCUUGUCAUUAUAAACAGAGCCAAUGGACAAAUUAACAAGGCAUCGUUUCGAAACAAUUACCUCGGCGCCUUUCUUCAACCAUGACAUUUUAUAAGGUGUAGGGUGUGUUUUUAAUUCCAACUUCAGCUUGUUUGCCGCUACUUCAGAAAUUAUAUUCUCACAACAACCAGAGUCAAUAAUUAAUUGACAUACCUUUCCCAUGAUUGUGCAAGCAGAAUGGAAAAUAUUGGUACGCAGCCACCUAUCUCCAGUGUCAUCUCGAGGAGUAAGAAAGAUUUUCCUCACCAUAAGAAGUUCGCCAGUGUCAGCAUGCACUAUUUGUUCAUCAUCUGCAGCUUCUUCAUCAUUAUUCAACUCCUCUUCAAGUGGAUCCUCAGCGUUCUCAUCGGAAUUAUUAUCCACCAAGAAGGCUUUACCGGCUGGUCGAUUCUUAUUGAUUCGACAAUUGCUAGCACGAUGACCCAACUCCCCACAAGAAUAGCAACGUAUUUCGGAUGUAGCAGGUUGCUUCAAAAUAUGGGGCUGAGUAGAAGACUUACUAGCAGAUUGCGUUGUAGCCUCAGCAACUUUAGCAGUGCUAGUGGUGCUUUUAGUGGCUCGACUCGCCAUGGUAGUUGAUUGCUGUCUCCGAGAACGAGAGCGCUCCAUUUUGAGUGCUCGUUGGUGUGCAUCUCCUAAGUCCCAAAUGUCGAGGACUUCCAAGGCGUCUUGAAUGUAAAAUUGAAGACCGUUCAAGUAUUUGUUCACAAGCACCUCCUCCGGAUCUUGGAUAUUGUUACGAAUCACCAACUCAUUGAAUUCAUUGGUGUAUUGGUCCACCGUUCGCGUACCUUGUUUUAGAUUUUGGUACCGUUGGUAGAGCUCUCUCUUAUAUCCUUUGGGAAGAAAAUAUUUUUGAAUCUUGCCCUCCAUCUUUCUCCACGAAGUGACUGGUGCUUUGCCAACGGCUUGGCGAGUUUGUUUUUCACGUCUCCACCAAGCAAUCGCCUUGCCUCGGAAUCGCAUAGCAAUGAUCCCAACGCGACGAUUCUCCGGAACAUUUCGAUGCUCAAACAUCUCAUUCACAAGUGUUAGCCAAUCAACAAUUUCAUCAGGAGACUCAUUACCUGUAAAUUCUGGGACAUCUUUCUUGACUUCCUUUUCCCAAUCUGGCUCACGAAUAUGUUGUAAACGAUGUCGAACAUGCCUCCGACCGUGAAUAUAUUGAACACUCUCCGAAGAGGAAGAGUCACCAUGGGAAUCUUCAGUCCUGGAACGGGGUGGAGAAUUAUUUGCUUCAGCCCUCAAACGCUGAACUUCUUGCGUCAAUUCAUCAAUUUGUUGUUGCAUAUUCUCAGCGAGUGUAUGCAAUUCAUUGAGGGGAACGGUUCUGCCGCCACGACGCCUAGCUUGUCUUGGAGGCAUUGUCCUCUCCUCCAAAGCUCCGAUACCAAAUGAUGCAAGCCUAGGGGAGGCUUUCUCAAACAGUAGGAUCGGGAGAGUGACUUGCACACGGAAAUAGGACAAACAGGAAUUUCAGCACUGCAUGAGCUCAGGAGAAUGGUCGUAUCUUUGUCGAUACAAAUCGGAUUGACCUGAUUCCAAAGCCAAAUGAACAAAGACUUCUGGAUCUACAAUUUCUCUGUUCUGGGUUUUCUGAAAUAAUCACUGUAGGAUAGUCGAAACUGGGUUGGAAGUAACGAACAGAACAGGAAAAGACAGAGACUCCGUUGGUUGCUCUUCUAGGCCUCCAAGGAAGUUGAGGGGCACCGAUUCUUCUAGAUCGAUGACUGCAACUCUUCAAGGAUGCAGAUUUCGAAAGCUCCGACUCUUCAAGGACGGAGUGAAAACUCUUCUAGGUUUUCAAGGGUUGAACUCUUCAAGGUUCAUGAUACUUGCUUCAAGCAAAGCUUUUCAUUAAUCAAAAGUUGUCUCCUUUCUCUACAAGAGAUUGGAUGGCUUAUAUCAUCAAGAAAAUAAAAACAGAGCGUUGAAACUAGGAGAAAUAAAGACAAAGCGUUGAAACUAGGAGAAAUAAAAACGGAGCAUUGAAAAUAGGAGAAAUAGUAAAGAGCAUGGAAACUAUAAACUAGUAAAAGCGUUAUGCGAGCUUCCAAGGUGUUUUAUGUCGAUAUAGCUUCUCGGUUUCGUCGAGCUUGAAUGCGGCCCGACCUUCUUGGUCGGGAAAGCUGGUCUUCAAUGCGGGCUGCAUCAGCUCCUGAAGCGGUCGGACUGCGUCAAGAUUUUGAUCAAGAUUUAGUGCCCUAUUUUGCCUAUUGCCUCCUGCCCUUGCUUUCUCGAAUUUCCUAGUACGAUAUUGACCAUGCUUUGUUUACUGUUGCACUCGCUCGUGUGAAACUCCGAUAAGAUUUUUUUUUUUUUUGACAAGAAUAAGAUAUUAUUGUUGGAGUUCAUGAUACAAUUUCGAGAAAUAUCUAGUAUUUAGAUAUUGUUACAUAGAUUCCUCUUGGCACGCCGACAAAACUCUAGUCUAAUAAUGUUGGUUGAAACACACGGUCUAGAAUGAAAGCAAAAAACGAAAAUCUCUUACACCUUACAGAUAUUAUGCCUAUGUCUUCAUCGGUUAUUCAUAAUCAAACUAUGUUUCCUCCUCCUAUAACCUUCAACGCACAAUUAUUACUUUGUUCUCUUAUUUAUUCUCUACCACAUCACUAGCCAAAAACUAUUAUCAAUAUUAGCCCCAUAGUUAUGAACAUAAUUAUAUUUUCAUCAAUUAUCAAUAUCAAUGAAAUCAACACCUCGAAUCACUUCACAAGGCGUGCCCCUUCCAUGUUCAGGUCAAGCAUCUAUCAAACCUAACUCGAACCAAACGGUUCACUGCCAACUCUUUUCUGCAUCCCAACCCUCUCUUUAAGAAUGCCGCAUCAUAAGAUAUGAUGUUUAACCAACUUAUCUUUCCAAUUGCUGCAAUUUGCAUUAGCUUCGCUUAGUCAACCUCCAGACGUUUAUUGAACAUUUACCCAUUCUUUGAACUGUAAUUUUUCCUUGGAAACUCUUAUCACAAAAGUAUCUUUUAGAAGUUAAACAGAAUAUUCGAAUUAAUUAAACAAACGCGACAAAGCUGAAGUCCAAGCCGAGUAACAGAGUCAAGUUUAAACCAUAACAGAACCUUGAUCACUUCAAAUCACACCCCUCAUCCAUAGAAAACAAAAGACGACCAACCAUGUCACGAUUGAAUCCAACUUAUCUGGAAGUUCGACAUUUACGACAGGUGAUGUAAGCCUGCUAAGUAUCCCCAAACUCCCACCGUUUUAUCCUGGAUCGAGGUUUCCUGUUUGCCGACUUUCUGCUCCACGGCCUGAUAUCAUCACACAAUCCGCAGAGAAGAUACUGCACAUUUACGGGGUGAGGGAACUCUCUGUCUGACCUCAAUUACAAAUUCCAUCCCAAUUCUAGGGGCGAGCAUGGUCCACCCCCUAACCUAAGACCAACCCACAUAGUGCUAAUCCUCAAUUUUUUGACCGAGGACCGACCCUAUUGAGCUUGGGACCGAGGACUAGAUUGGCCCAAUGGGUUCGGUCUGGUUCUAGAGUCAACCCGGAACCAACCGAUAAUUUUUUAUUUCAUUUUUUGUAUUUCUUAAAAAAACAAUUAAGGACUAGACUGACCCAAUAAGUUUGGUCUUAUUUCCAGGUCAACCCAAGACCAACCAAUACUUUUUUAUUUCAUUUUUUGUACUCCUUAAAAGGGUAACUGAGGACCAUACCUACCUAAUGGGUUUGAUGAUGAGCGAGGUCAAUUAGACAAGCGGUGAGGGUUAAGUGGGGUGAGCAUCGAACAAAUGAGCAUCGAAUGUCGAGUGGGGAGCAACAAGCCAAGCGAGCAUCGAGCAACGAGUGGCACAAAUGACCCAAAGCGAGCGAGGCGAGUGUUGAGUGGCAAGAGGAGAAGUUUUUUAUUUUGAUUUUGGCAAAUUGAAGAGUAAGAGGACAAAUAAGACAAAAGAAAACAAAUAUUAGAUGAUGAUGCCAUAAGGAGUUGUUUAUACUUUUUUGGACGCUAUAAGGACUCAUCACAAAAACAUUUUCCUCUUUCAUAAAUUAUAACUAUUGACACUGUAAAAGACAUUAAAAAUCUAAGUUAUUAAAGAAUAAUGUAAAAUUACAUGAACUCCUCACUAAAAAGCUAUUUAAUGUUGUUGACGCUAUUUAUUUUAAGGUUUUCUCUAUAUAAAAAAACUAUAAAUAAUAUAUUAGAUAUAUAUAUAGUCAGAAUUGAUCCGGGUUGGACCGACCUGGAACUGUUAGGAUGGAGGACCAACCCGCACAGUGCUAGUCCAGGAAUUCUAAGAUCAAGGACCGACCCAAUCUCCCUGGGAACCGGACCAGGACUAGCAGGGUUAGGCCGAUCCAGGGUCGGACCCUGGACCGAUGCUCACCCCUACCCAAUUUCCAUUCUCCAAACUUCAUGGCAAUCGCCUUAAAACACAAGCCAUCUACAUUUCUCUUUCUUUGAUAAUAACAUAAGAAUUCUAUGCCGGCGCACUAUGAGUGUUUCACAAGAAUCAAAUAAGAUUUGACACCUCAAAGGCAGAUGAAUUUAAAAAAAAUAGCUAAAUUCCCCGCCAAAUAGAAUUCUUACAAAUGCGCAACUGAAGGAUCGGGAAAUUUUCGUAGUUUGGCCAGUGGAAAGACGUGCUCAAAUGGCACACGCAACAGUCGUAGAGAGAAUGUGGCAUCAUUCAUCCAUGCUAUAAUAUAAUGAUCCAAUGAUCACUUUGGCCAAAUAAAGGGGGGGGGAAAGGUAGAAUCCCAAUGAUCACUAGAAAGAUCAAGAAUCUUCUAAAGAAAGAGACUGAAAUAAAACAAACAAAAUCUUCUUCUUGUGUGUACUGCGUAUAAGUGGAACUAAGAUGACAUGCGGACAACAUGGUAAUGACACGUCCUCUUUAGACAUGAUUUUCUUCUUAAAUUCGACUCGAAUCUCUACCGAAAAUGAAUCGCGAUCCCCAGUCAGAGACCACCUGUCACGACCCGAACCCCGGGCACAUGCACAUCCCUCAAUGGUCGAUUUAAAAUUUGCAACAUCCCAGGAACUGUUGCCGACCCAUUCGUUAUUUUUGCACAUGCGGAAACGUAAAAACAAUCUUUAUACAAAACAGUGGGAUAAAAACGUAGGAUAUUAUUUUUCACAAGCCACACCUACAACAUCACAUUACUUAUAGACUAGUUUAACAUCCCAAGGUCUAAUACAAAAAGUGAAGAUGUUCGAUUACCCACUAACUAAGCUUCUAUCUAUAAGACUGGGGUUUACUACUACAAUACCAUACUUCUCAAUUUCUCAGGGGUGAGCUGUCACCCUACAUCUAGUCUUGACGGAAAACCCGUCAUUACUUGGAAGGAGAUAGCAAGAAUCCUAUUCCUCCUUUACUGCGACCGACUGUACACGACCCGGCCUUCCUCCAUGUAGGGACCUGAAAAAUGUUAGCCCACUAAGAGGUGAGAUCACAUCUCAGCGAGUAAAUCCCUUAAUUCCAGAUUAGGCGAAGGGUACAUCCUGCAUGCAAUCUAAUCACGUUUCUCAUAUUUUCUUAAUACUAGUACUUUUCUGCAUGUUAGUGUCAAUCAAAUCAUGCAUAAGAUAUCGAGAUCAUAUAUCAUCAGAAUACUUUUAACAUAUACAUAUGUAAGGACAUAAAUGUCACAUAAUUACGCGGGCCCCGAAUUACCAGACUAAACCGUUGUAGUACGUCCCAUACCGCACCACACAGUUCCUUCUUUUAAUUAGGUUCCUCACUUUCACCCAUUCAUGUGUCACAAAUGAUUUCAAUGCACAGAUAACAGUCUUCCGGCAUAACCGGGCAUCGUCUCGCACCGUCGAGCGCGGUAUCGUCUACAUCUAGACGGCAUUUCAUAUAGGAGCAUCGGUCCAGCCUCCACUACGAUCGGCAUCCGUUGACGUGGGGCAUUCCCGAAGGAGCAUCGUCCGGCCCCAAAGGCUCGUGACAACAUUUCACAUCAUUCAUGCAUUUAUUCAACUUCAGCCCAAGAUACCGUGCAUUACACUCAAAUACCUCAAUUAAAAUGGUGAUCCCAGCCUAUUUUCUUCAUAUUAGAAAUGCAUGGUAAAAUAAUCGUGUGUGGGGACACGGUCAGAUCGAACCAGAAAAUUUGUGUCAUCUCUUUUAAAAUCCCACAGUUUGGUAUAGUAUUUAAAAACACUUUCGGCGUCCAAAACCUGACACCCGGUAUUUUAUAAUUAAAUACCAACAGUUUUCAAUCACCAUACAAUAGCACAAAACAUCACCCAAUUCAUGCGGAUGCCCAUGCCUUUACACAUCCAUUCACUUCAUAAAAUCAAUACACAUGAAAUUAGACCACUUUUCAUUCUCGGGUGAAUAGUGUACGUGAACAGUGCGUGUGAACAGUACUUGUGAACAGUGCAUCAUGAACAGUGAAAUUCCAAAGUUCAAUAACUAAUAAAUUAAAUCCGCAAGUCAUUAAAACACUAAUUAAAACAAGCAAAGCAUCAAGAACCAUCAUCAAACUAAAAUCAGUUCUAAUUUACAGAAACCGGGCCUUCGCGCGUCUCCAAAUUUAAAUCCAGAAACCUAACCAAUCGAGCUCGAAAAAUUCCCAAAUUUGAAUAUGUUGUAAAGGACAUGUAAAAGAACAUUUUUAAUGAAGACACCAAGAUCCAGAUCCCUCUAGAUUCGGCCCAGAAAUUCUCUCUAUCCAGCACAAAAAUCGGGUCUAGUUCCAGAGAACCUAACUCAUCGAAAUCAGUUCGUUUUUGGGUCGAAAUCUAGUCCGUUUGAUUUGAAAUUCAAUUAUGUUAAACUAAAAGUUAUAGCAAACAACUUUCAUGAAGAAACCGAUUGGAAAUUCGACCUCGAAAGGUCAGUAACAGCCCUCUGAAUCAUAACAGGUCAGGAGUUACAAAACUGUCCGAAUUAUUGUUCCGAGGAUGACGUCAUUAAAAUCAUCAUCUUUUUAAUUUCUAAAAAUUCUAAGAAAAAUAUGAGAUAGCUAGUAUAAGCACCUAGAGGGGGGGUGAAUAGGUGCACAAACAAAUUCUCGAGAUACGGAAGCGAUUCUAGGCAAACAAUAGAAAGAAAAUGCGAUCAAAGCGAAGUAAAGGUUAAGGAAGAGAGAAAUGAACACAAGAUUUAUAGUGGCUCGGCUUAUUCCAAGCCUACAUCCACUCUUCCGCACUGACAGCCCACCGCCUGGAUUUCACUAUGAACAAAAGAGAAGUUACAGCACAGCUUUUCCUUGAUUCCACAGUGUAAAAGUUCUACCACACUUCCUCAAGGUUUCUCACGAAUAUAAACUCUCUUUUGUUUACACGAUUUUGCUCAACAAAUGAAUUGACGAAGAACAAGGAGCUUUAGACUUUGGAAUUCUUCUAUCGUGCACACACUCGAACAACUGGAACGUCUUCCUUAUAUACUCCUUCAUGCCAUUAUACCCGUUGGCACUUACCAAAGGAAUUCCUCGAAUCUACUCGUUGGACGGAAUCAAUUAGGAAGAUCAUUCGAGCUAUUAAAGGAACAUGUCGAUAGCCCAUCAAUCAUGUUCGCCCAUACAAUCAGGAUCUCAGUUUCCAUAAGUAGAACCUUCCAAGUAUACUUUGUCAAUCAUCGGAUCCUUAAUCUUCGAAUCAAUUAUGAUCAAAUAAAGAAUUCCGUUAUGUCAUAUCCAGCCAAGAGAUCUUCUCCAGUCGAUAAGGCCACAUCCUUAAUGAAACAUCCAGUUCUAGAUAGCCUUUCUUCAACGAAUUAGAAACUAUCAAUGAAAAUAGACUUUGAGUCUUGAGUGUCCGGAGGUCUUCAGACUUUAAAUAACAGAGUCUGCAAGCCUUCAGACUAGACUGAUGGAAACGUUUUGUCAACUUCAAAACACUUCAAGAGGAUUUCUCCAACAAUCUCCCCCUUUUUUAUGGUGACAAAACUUUCCUGCAGAUUUGGAAAACUUUGACCUGCUAAACAUUUCUCAAACACAUAUGCAUAUCUUAUAGAGAUAAAUGGCUAAAUGAAUAACACUAGUAUCUGCAACCACAAAGAAUAGGUUAGCCCAGUAUGCAAUAAAGCCAUCCAUAAGAUAUCAAUAGUAGUUAAUAAUAAGCUAUCAAAUCCAAAUCCAAAUUUAGUCCACAUCCAGACACACACGACUCAAAAGUCAAGUCAAGACAAACCACAAACCAAACAAGCCAAAAGUUCGACAAAUUUAAGUUCAAAGUUUUUCAAGUCUCACAACUCUCCCCCUUUUUGUCAGCAUAAAAAAAAUGAGAUGAAAAUGAAGUCAAGGAUUCUUGGGAACACGAACAAGCUGAAAAUCUCCCAUCGACUGAACGAUGCCUUCCAGCCUUUUUAAGUCUUCCUUCAACUGAACAACAUCCUCACCCUUAGCAUUAGCCUGAAUCUGAAGAAAAGGGCUUGGAUUUGAUCAUUUAAUGAACCCGAAGAGACUUGUCCUGCAUUCUGCAAGUUCUGAACUUCACAUCCCAAUGCAUAUAUCUGACCUUGCAUCUCCAAGAGAAUAUCCAUCACUCUGCGAAAGUCUGCUGAAUUGUCGGUCUGCGUACUGGCGUUAGCACGAUCUGAUGGAGUAAAUGCAGACGAUGGUAGAUCAACAUAAUCACGCAGAUUUGGCAAAGAAACCUCAUGACCUUCCUCACGAAACUGAGAGGCAUAAAUAUCCUCAGGAUCUGCUGGGGAUCGACUGACUCCCUCACUGGAUGCAGGAUUUGAAGAUAUUCAUCUUUUCUCUUGGUCUCCCCCUGUGUUCAUGCCUUCAGGUGGAGAGUGCUCCUCAUGUUCUUCUUCUUCAUGAUCUCUUUUCUCUUCUUCUUCUUUUUCAACUCUCUCUUGCUCAGCAUUUCUUUCUUCUUCUUCUUCUCUUUCCUCCGUUUCUUUUUCCUCUGCUUCUUUUUCUUCUGCUUCUUUUUCCUCUGCUUCUUUCUCUGCUCUUUCUUCUGUCUGCUGUUCUGACUCUUUCUCUGGAACAGAUCGACUGAGAUUCUUCAAAGCAGAAAUAGUGAUGUUUUCCUCAUCAUCUUCAUCAUCAACGAGGAGAGCUCUUCUUCUCUUGGAUGGAGCAUCCAUGGGUUCCUUCCCUUUUCUUUUUCCUGCAGAAGAGAAUUGAUGAGAUUUGACUAGAGUCUCCUCCUUAAAUUUCUCUAAUGCCUUGCUUAGUUCCUUCAGACGCAUCUUGGUCACCAUUUUCAGUCCUACCACCAUAUGAUCGCACGAUCGAGCACAAAGAAUUUGCGGAGGCUGAAUGUUCAGAUGUCUGAAUAACUUCGUCACAAGACCUGGAUAAGGAAGUUGUCCUCCGUCCUUUAUCACAGCUCUAUACAUGUGGAACAUAACAGUGUGAGAAAGAGAAAAUCUUUUCCCAGUGAUGAUUGCAUACAUUAGCUUUGCCUCUGAACUUGAGACAUCAGUCUUGGAAGUUGAUUUCGGUCUGAGGCAAUUGAUUACUAUUUUGUGCAGCAAGAUGUUAAAUGCACUCAUCCUUGAAUAGGAAAUAUUUCCCUCUGUUGUCCUGUCCUUAACCAAUUCCAAAGUAGUACGAGCAAUAGAAACUUUGAUCCGUUGAUAUCUUCCUCUCUCAACUCCUAACACAUCUGCCAGCAUAUUUAUAUCCACAACAAAGUCUUGAUCUUUGACACUGAAGGAGAAUCUAUUCGCAUCCAAGAAACUAAGAUUUGAAUAGAAAUAAGCAGUUAGUUGAGGAUAGGCUUCUGUGGUGUCAGAGCAGAAUUUCUCAAGUUGAAGAUGACCAAACUUUUCCCUUAAGUUCACAUUUACAGCAUCUAGAAAAUCAAAAUCCACACUCCUAGGGUUUAUCACCCCACGCUUCAGCAAUUUUGAGUAUAGAUCCAUCUGUUCCUUUGAUCUAAACAACUCUCCCAUUUUUCCUUGAUUUUCCGCCGCAAUUCCCAUUCUUGGCUGAAAUUCGCUGUAUAAUUUGUCAUCAUCAUUUCCAUCCACUGGAUUAACUCCCCAAUCACGAGGGUCACUUGGGAUAUUCGCAAGGGAUUCUUCUGCCACACCCUUACGAGCAAUUCCAAACUUUCCAUUUUUCGCAAAAAGAUAUAUUUAUUUCCAUAUCCUUUGUCCUUAAGAAAAUCAUCCACAUAGUUUAAUGGAGUACAAGUCCCUUUUAAAGCACGAUACAACUUAUAAAUAAAAGAGGGCCUUUGAACUCUUACAGGAUCUGCAUCUUCAAUGAUUUCUUCAUUUUGAUGAUGAUCAACAUCUUGAGGACUAGAUGGAGGAGAAUGACGCUGCUGAGAAUGUUGUGGGCUCUGCUGCUGAUUUGGAGACACUUCUUCUUCAGUGAGAUCGAAGUGCGUAGGCCCCUCACUCAUUCGUCGUAGUCCCCUGCUUGCAAUCCUCGAUGACUUUCUUGAAGACGACAUCUUUCUUAGUCUUUGAGAGAUUCCUUGCUUGACUUUCCCAAGAAAGAUGACAACUUUUUCGAAGAUUAAACAAGAGAAGAAAACAGGAAUGGAAGAUUGGUGCUUUUUAGGGUUUUGGAGUUAAGCGAAGAGAAACCGACUGUAUAUAAGACAGUCGAAAGAAGGGGAUACCAAUCGUCGUAAUGGAAAGUGAAAAGAUUCCUUUUAAAAAAAUAACUGCCUUUUUCGAAAAAUGGUCAUUUCAAAAUAACUUCUUUAUCUAAAGGAAACGAUGCAAUAAUCUCGUCAAUUAAAGAUAGCAGUUGAGAUAACAAUAAUCAACACAGUUGAUGAACGUACCUUUUCAAGAUGAGAUUAGAGAGAUAAUAACUUACAGUCAAAGUCUUGCAGUCAAAGUCUUAUAUGUCUGAGUCUGAGAGUCUCUAGACUUUAACUUCUUCGAACCUCAAAAUGUUGAGUUUGGAACGGAUAAUUUCAAAUUGAUUUUUCUCCAAAUGCUUUGUAAAUAUAUCCGCCAGUUGAUUCUUUGAGUCAACAAAAUGAAUCGCAAUUUCUCCAUUUUGAACAUGAUCUCUAAUGAAGUGAUGUCGAAUUUCUAUAUGCUUUGCUCUUGAGUGAAGAAUUGGAUUUUUGGUGAGGUUGAUAGUGCUGGUGUUGUCACAUUUAAUCUCCGUGCAUGAAUCUUCAAUUCCAAAGUCUCUUAGCUGUUGUUUUAUCCACAGAAUUUGUGAACAGCAACUUCCAAGAGCUACAUAUUAUGCUUCUGCUGUAGAGAGGGCUACUGUACUUUGCUUUCUUGAAAACCAAGACACUGUCCUGCCUCCAAGUAGUUGACAGGUACCUGAGGUGCUCUUUCUAUCAACUCUGCAACUGGCUAAGUCUGCGUCUGAGUACCCAAGAAGAGUAAAGUCUCCCCUUUUAGGAUACUAGAGACCAAAGCUUGAAGUUGAUGCAAUAUAUUUGAUAAUACGCUUUGUAGCAUUUAAAUGUGAUUCUUUAGGAUCUGCUUGAAAUCUGGCACAAAUGCAAACACUAAAUAAAAUGUCAGGUCUAGAAGCAGUAAGAUAAAGAAGUGAACCGAUGAUACUCCUGUAUAACUUUUGGUCGACUUUCUUUCCUCCUUCAUCUUUAUCUAUCUUCACGGAGCUUGACAUUGGUAUAUCGGCCUUUUUGCAAUUGUCCAGUCCAAACUUCUUCACAAUAUCAUUAGCAUAUUUUUCUUGAUGAAUAAAAGUUCCUUCCUUCAGUUGUUUUACUUGAAGUCCAAGGAAGAAGGUUAACUCACCCAUCAUGCUCAUUUCAAAUUCAUCCUGCAUAGUCUUAGAGAAUUUCUUGCAUAGACUUUCAUUAAAGGAUCCAAAAAUAAUAUCAUCGACAUAUAUUUGAACAAGUAGAAAACUCUUGCUUUCUCUUUUAAUGAAAAGAGUAGUGUCUACUUUACCUUUAACAAAUCCAUUUUCAAUUAAAAACUUACUCAGUCUGUCGUACCAAGCUCGAGGAGCUUGUUUCAAGCCGUAUAAAGCCUUUUUGAGUCUGAAUACUGAGUCUGGUUUCCUUGGGUCUUCAAACCCGGGUGGUUGUUCAACAUAGACUUCCUCUUGGAUGAAUCCAUUUAGGAAGGCACUUUUGACAUCCAUUUGGAAUAACCUGAAAUUCUUAUAACAAGCAAAAGCAAGUAAUAAUCGAAUUGCUUCUAACCUUGCUACUGGUGCGUAAGUCUCAUCAUAGUCUAUCCCUUCUUCUUGUGUGUAUCCCUUGGCCAUGAGUCUUGCCUUGUUUCUUAUGACUUUUCCUUUCUCGUUCAUCUUGUUCCUGAAAACCCAUUUAGCUCCAAUAACAGACUUACCUUUUGGUUUAGGAGUCAAUUCCCAGACAUCAUUAAUAUUGAAUUGCCUGAGUUCUUCUUGCAUAGCUUCAAUCUAGCUUUCAUCAGAUAAAGCUUCUUCUAUGCUUUUGGGUUCUCUUUCAGAAAUAAGAGCCAUAGCACUAGACUCUACGCGCCUUUUGGAUCUUGUGCAAAUUCCUUCAUUGAUGUCGCCAAUAAUAAGAUCUUUGGGAUGACUGGACUUAUGUUUCCAAUUGCUGGUUAAUUUGUCAGAUUGAUGGUCACUUCCUUCACUUGAAUCUUCAACAAUCACUUGUUGCUGGUCCUUCAAAGUCUGAGCUGUUUUAGACUUUGUAGAUUCUAGAGCAGGUUCAGAUUCUUCAAAUUGAGUCUGAAUGGAUUCAUUUUGCAUAGAGUCUUGGAAUUUAACAUUCAUUGAUUCUUCCACUGUUUGAGUCUUCUUGUUGUAGACUCUGUAUGCUUUGCUUGUGGUUGAAUAUCCAAGGAAGAUGCCUUCAUCUGAUUUUUCUUCAAACUUACCAACUUGAUCAUUUGCAUUUUUCAGUAUAAAACAUUUGCAUCCAAAUACAUGAAAAUAUGAAAUAAUAGGCUUCUUUUCUUUGAAUAAUUCAUAGGGGGUUUUUUCCAGAAUAGGCCUUAGAAAAACUCUAUUUAUAAUGUAACAUGCUGUAGAAACUACUUCAGCCCAAAAACAUGAAGAGAUGUUACUUUCAAUUAAAAGAGUUCUAGCCAUUUCUUGAAGAGAUCUAUUAUUUUUUUCCACAACUCCAUUCUGCUCUGGAGUAUAUGGAGAGGAGAAUACAUGCUGAAAACCAGAUUCAUCAUAGAAUUUUGUAAAAUCAUGAUUUUCAAAUUCACCUCCAUGAUCUGUUCUUAUACUCGAGAUAACAUACCCUUUUUCAUUUUGAAUCUUUUUAGCAAACUUUUCAAAGUAAGAGAAAGUUUCAGACUUACUUGCCAAGAAAUAUACCCAAGUAAAUCGUGAGUAAUCAUCCACAAUUACUAGGCAGUACUUCUUACCUCCAAUGCUUUGUGUUCUGGUUGGUCCAAAAAGAUCCAUAUGCAGAAGCUGCAGUACACGGUUAGUGGAAACUUGAUUUAUUGGUUUAAAGGAAUUUCUUACCUGUUUUCCCAAUAUACAUGGUGUACAUAGAUCAAACUUUUGGUAUGAUAAAUUGGGUAGACCACAAACAAGCUUCUUUGCUGAGAUUUUGGCUAUUUGCUUCAUGUUGACGUGCCCAAGCUUUCUGUGCCAUAAGUUUGCUUCGUCUUGGAUCGAGAUCAGACAUUGUGAUUCAUCUGGUUUCACAUCCAAGAGGUAGAUAUUUCCAUGUCUUCGACCCAUGAAUGACUGAGUAGAAUCUUUACUAAUUCUAGAACAUAUUCCCUCUUGAAAGUUGAUUUUGAAACCAGUAUCACAUAGCUGACUAAUACUGAGCAAAUUGAAUUGAGCCCUUCCACUAAGGAAACAUUGCUGAUUGUGAGAUUUCCAAUCUUUACAGUUCCAAAUCCCACAAUUUUUCCUUUGCUGUUUCCUCCAAAAGAGACUUUUUCACCAUUUACUCGAACAAUCUUUAUGAAGUAAUUUGAGUCUCCUGUCAUGUGUCUUGAGCAUCCACUAUCAAGAUACCAUUUUACCUUUUUCUUGAUAGUGACCUACAUUUAAAAAAGAAACUCAAACCUUCUUUGGUACCCAUAUUUUCUUGGGUCCAUUGGUGUUAGUUUGAUAUACGGUUUUUGCCCAUUCCUUUUUAACAGGUUUCCAAAUCAUGGAACAUUCUUUUUCAAAAUGAUCUGCACUAUUGCACUUUGAGCAUUUGAGAGUAUUGCGACCUACUGGUUUUACAAAGAUCCUUUUAAAAUGACUUUUGUAAGCAUCUCUUGUGGGUCUUUGUUUGAUUCUUUCCUUUACUUUAGGGAAAUCAAUUAAAGGAAUGGUUUCAGCAGUCAUUCCCAAACCAGAUUUAUUGAAAUAAGGUCUUUGAACAGAGAGAAUUUUUUCCAGUUUCUCAGAUCCUAUAGAAAAUCUUUUGGAAAUAUUUGAGAUAUCAUUUUUCAAGAAUGCAUUUUCUUUUAAAAGAUUGUCUUCACUUUCUUUAAGAGAAUAAGCAUUCUUGUCUAAACAUUUCACUUUUUCUUUCAAAAUAUUUUCCUGUUGUUUUAGAGCAUAAUUUUCUUUCUUGAGUUCGGAAAUUCUUUUGAGAGAAGUCUUAAGACUAAAACACAAUUCAUCAAUAUACUUUGAAACCUUAAUAGGGAUUUUGAAGUUACUUACCUCAAAUUCGCUUUCUGAGUCUGAAUCUAUCUCGGAAUUUGAAUCUGAAUCCGAUUGAGCCAUCAGACAUAUAUUGGCAUAUUCAUCAUCACUUUCUUCACACUCUGUAUCACUCCAGGUUUCAGCUUUAAGAGAUUUUCGAUACUUUUCAGUUUUUCCUUUCUUCUUCCUCAGAAGAGGACAGUUGGGUCUAAUGUGUCCCUUUUUCUUGCAUUCAAAGCAGACUACAUCCUUGUUUGAUUCAUCAUCCCUUUUGAAAACUUUGUUUCUUUGGAUUGAAUCUUCUUCCUUUUCUAUUCAGCUUUCUGAAUCUUCUUAUCAUGAGAGCAAGUUCCUCAUCAUCCAUAUCGUCUUCAGAAUCUGUAACAUCAAAAUCAUCAUUAGAUUUUAAUGCAAUGGAUUUCUUACCUUUAGGGUCUUCGUCUUCAUUGAUUCGCUCCACUUCAUAAGACUGAAGAGUCCCAACCAACUCAUCAACAGAUAGUGGCAUGAUUCUUUGGGUCUCUCUGAUUGAGGUCUUUAUGUGAUUCCAAUCCUUGGAGAGUCCACGCAGUAGCUUGUUUACUUUCAUGGGAUUAGAAAUUGGUUGACCUUGGUUUUCAAGACCAUUCACGAUUUCUGUAAAGCGACUGAACAUAUCCGUUAUAGAUUCUCCUGGUUUCAUUUUGAAGGCUUCAUAUUGACCGAGGAGAAUGUUGAUUCUAGUCUCUUUCACUCGAUCGGUUCCUUCAUAGGUAAUAUGUAAUUUAUCCCAGACUUCUUUAGCUGUAACACAAGAAGAUAUUCUAUUAUAUUCAGUACGGGAUAAAGCACAAUAUAAAGAAUAAAUUGCUUUUGCAUCAAGAGCUUGUCUCUUGAUUUUCUCUUCCUGAGUCAUUUCGCUAGACUCAACAACAUAUUUUCCUCUUUCUGAGACAGAUGCAGCUUUAGGAAUGAUUCCUUUUUCUACAACAUCCCAUUCCAGAGGAUCCUUUGAUUUUAGGAAUGCUUUCAUCUUGUUCUUCCAUAUGUUGUAAUCAUUUCCAUCAAAAUAAGGUGGUCUGGUAUUGCUUUGCCCUUCUACCAGUCUUGGAGCCAACAUACUAGCCAUGGAUAUUUAACUCUGAAGUAAAACACUUCAACAUACACAAGCUCUAAUACCAAUUGAGAUAGCUAGUAUAAGCACCUAGAGGGGGGUGAAUAGGUGCACAAACAAAUUCUCGAGAUACGGAAGCGAUUCUAGGCAAACGAUAGAAAGAAAAUGCGAUCAAAGUGAAGUAAAGGUUAAGGAAGAGAGAAAUGAACACAAGAUUUAUAGUGGUUCGGCUUAUUCCAAGCCUACAUCCACUCUUCCGCACUGACAGCCCACCGGCUGGAUUUCACUAUGAACAAAAGAGAAGUUACAGCACAGCUUUUCCUUGAUUCCACAGUGUAGAAGUUCUACCACACUUCCUCAAGGUUUCUCACGAAUAUAAACUCUCUUUUGUUUACACGAUUUUGCUCAACAAAUGAAUUGACUAAGAACAAGGAGCUUCAGACUUUGGAAUUCUUCUAUCGUGCACACACUCGAACAACUGGAACGUCUUCCUUAUAUACUCCUUCAUGCCAUUAUACCCGUUGGCACUUACCAAAGGAAUUCCUCGAAUCUACUCGUUGGACGGAAUCAAUUAGGAAGAUCAUUCGAGCUAUUAAAGGAACAUGUCGAUAGCCCAUCAAUCCUGUUCGCCCAUACAAUCAGGAUCUCGGUUUCCAUAAGUAGAACCUUCCAAGUAUACUUUGCCAAUCAUCGGAUCCUUAAUCUUCGAAUCAAUUAUGAUCAAAUAAAGAAUUCCGUUAUGUCAUAUCCAGCCAAGAGAUCUUCUCAAGUCGAUAAGGCCACAUCCUUAAUGAAACAUCCAGUUCUGGAUAGCCUUUCUUCAACGGAUUAGAAACUGUCAAUGAAGAUAGACUUUGAGUCUUGAGUAUGACUGUCCGGAGGUCUUUAGACUUUAAAUAGCAGAGUCUGCAAGCCUUCAGACUAGACUAAUAGAAACGUUUUGUCAACUUCAAAACACUUCAAGAGGAUUUCUCCAACAAAAUAUAUGUUACUAUUUAGGAUGUCCCAAACUUUUCUUCAGAAUAAAAUUCCUUCAAAAUCGCAACACACAGUUGUCUGCGAAAUUAGCAAAACACACACGUCCUGGAAACUGUUUUAGAAAUCAGCUACUGUUCUAGUCCGAAUCUUCUUCCACGACAUUUAUCUUGCUCUCUAAACCCUAUCUAAGCUUUUCUAUGGCCAUCAUAACAUCCCUAACCAACAUCUAUCCAUAUAUAACGCCAUCUACAUAUUUUUAACUUGUACGAAUUCCUAAUAGUGGUACUCAACCCCUAGUCCAGAUUUAGAAGACAACUCACCACUGAAACUAAUGGCGAUCCUCACUUGUGGCCGGACGGCAACACAAGGACAGCCCUGGAAGUUUUUGAUGAUGAUUUGGACCCGGCACAACGGCUGGAGAUGUCGUUGAGCGACCACCACAGCAGCACACAAAGUCCCGAAUUUUCUUGAGGAGGGAGGAACGCUCGAGACCUUACUGUUCGGUCACUGCUUUGUCGUCCAAGGGGGAGCAAGAAUGGCCGAAUAAACUAACCUAAAUAAGAAGAAGACAAGACUUUUUAUGGCUGUGAAAGGGAAAGGAAAUUGUUGUAAGGUUGGAUAAGGGAAAGAGAGAGGCAGGUGCACGGCAGCAGGAGAGAAGAAAUAAGUGCGGAAGAAAAAGAAAAGAGGGUAAAGCAAAAGACUAAGACCCUUCAGCUGAGAGAAAAGAAAGGAAAGAAAAAUAAAGAACAAGAAAGAAAGGGAAAAAGUAAAAGGGAAAGCAACCCAUUUGCUACUGCACUUCGGUUUCCUACGACAAGAAGAGAAGAGAAAGGUGGGGAGUAAAUGCCUGGAAGUUACUCAGCAUUUACCUUCUGCUUUUGGACCCAAAUUCUAUGGAAAAUUGGCUCUCUAUUACUACCUUAGGUCCCACUCUCUUUUCCAAGUCCAUCUCUAUUAAAUACUAAAGAAAUUGAGGUGAAAUUGUAGGAGAGAGGGAUUCCUACGAAUUUCCUUUUGAGGAGACUUCUCUUCUUUCUUUAAUUACCAAUCUAACAUCUAAUUCAAUAGGGCCAAGUCCCUUAGUAACAACUUAUAAUACCUCUUAAAUUGCUUCACAUUAAAGGCCUUAAAAUCCUACUUAAAAUGUGGCAAUUCUCUUGCUCUUUUAAUUUGCUGAUCUUGCACAUUUCGUGAACAAUUCCCAUCAUCAAUAAAUUUUGAGAAGAUGCAACAAUGUCCUUGGGAUGAAUUGUGACACGUGACAAUUCUUAAUUUCUGUAAUCGACAUCAUUUCCUCGGUUAAUUUAAGUCAAAUGUGAUUUUAGCGCAACCUAAAUUAUCGGUUAGUUUUUAGGAAUUUUCGGUGCAACUGACCCGUGGUCGAUUAUUCCCGAGCCACGAUGUACAUCUUCGACGCAUUGACGACUCUCGAUUGUCGUGAAAAAUCUCGAGGUUUCAAUUAUGAGCACAUGGUACCAAAACAACAGAAAAUUCAGUUUAGUGCCGAUCGACGAGAAAUUUGUAAUUAGUUGGAAUCACCCAAGCCUAAUUUUAUCUCUAUCGAAUCGACCUAUUUCCAAUUUCUGAUAGAUUUUCGACUGUGCCGAACUAAUCCUUGUAGACUAACAUAGUCGAGCAGUCGAUUCCUGGUCGAAUUCUCAAGUCUGUUGCAUCAAAAUCCUUUAAUAACUUUCCCGAUUAAUCAAGUUAUCUCAUGAGUGAUCAGCUCAGAGAAUAGCGCUAUAAGCACGUCAAUGAAAUGCCCGAUUUAUUUAAUUGAAAACAGAAGUGGAAAAUCAGACUGUCACACCACCAGCACUCUGGUGCGCCACCUGACUAAUUUGCUGUUAAGUUUCACAACACCAUCAUAGGAUUGAGUGUACUAAGAAUCGGUACAUCAAUUGCAUAUGCAAAUUACAAACUUACCUUGCAUAAACUGAAUACCAGAGCCACUGGUACUGUGGCCAAUCGAGACCCAAUCCCCUGGUAGCUCAGCUGCAGUUUGUUCUCCUCCCAAGGGUGCAAAUUGCCCGAAAUGCUUGUACCUUAAUGAAUGAUUAGACUUUCAACCAUCACGGCGACAUAACUCCACUGUCUACUUCUAAUAUGUGGGUUGGAGAAAAGUAUUACCAUGCAACGGUUGAUGUUAUGUCACAUCAGCGCUAUCACUCACCAGGAUAUCUAUUUUGCAACCCACAUGUUUCUUUUGCAAAAUAAUUCAUCAAAAUUAAGACCUGUUUGUCUGCGAUGAUCCUUAUGCACUAUUAGCAUCAAAUGAUGUACCUCGAAGAAAGGCUAAUUAUUCUCUUAUUUAUGUUUGACUGGGAAAAGAAAGACUGCAUAUGGGAGGUCUAAUGAUAUAAAAGAAACGACAGAGCGACAUACAUAUCCCAUCCAGUAUGUCUAUGCAUCCAGAGAACAUAUUGGUUGGCGGAGAUGGUGUCAAUAAGAACAAUGGACCUAUUCAUGAUUAUGAAAGAUCUACUUAAAUAAUCUAACCUUGAGGUUCGUUCUGUAGUUCAAUUGUAACAUAAAGCACUUGUUUUCCUGGAAGAGAAGCUUAUUGUACCUGAAGGGAUGAAACCGAUGACGUCCUGCAACCCUGAACCUCAGAGGACCUUCGGGAUUCUUUUCGCACUCAUCCAUGCGAUUGAAACAGUCGGCGAGAUAUUCAUCUUGUUGAGCAGCCACCUUUGCCAUUUACAGCACAUGUAGAUGUUGGUACUAUAAAACAAGAACGACAAAAAGAAGAAAGGAGAAGAGAGUAAUUGUACUUGAGCUGUUGCAGGAAGAUUUUUCAUCUGAGAAUCCACUUCAGCAAGGGCUAACUUAAACAGUUCAAUAUCCAGUUGGAGAGUUUGCGUUUCGCUGUCAGCAUGCUUGAGUAGAUCAACAAAGUUCCUCAUGUUUUUCUUCUUCAAGUAUAGCUGCACUUGUGGAUACCGUUCGCAGAUGUCCGCAACAACUUCUUUUGCAUCUUGUAUACUCAGCUUACCUGUCUUAGACUUAUCUGCCUUACUGAAUAUCGCUGCAAUAUCUUCCUGAAAAGAAAGGAGUACUUAACAAAAAUAAAUUUGAUGAAGUAACAACUGCUGAGAGAAAAAUGUCUUAUACUGUACAGACUUGAAACUAGUAAUCCAAAAAAUAUGAGCUCAGUCCACUCUAACAUUCUGAAUAAACCAUGACACAUUACAACAACGGUUUGACAUAACCUUCGAUAUCGACUAUCCCAACUCAAGUUAGUUGAGUGUAAUGAAGAUUUUCUGCACAAAGGCUGACGAGAACAGCUGAAUGAAGCAAAAUCAGGAAUUGUGUCCCCUUGUUAUAAAGGUUCUAACUGGUCAAUAUAAAAAAAAAAAUGUUUCCUUUUGUACAAAUAUUCAAGAUAUAGGUGACUAGAGAGAAAAGACCUUGAAUAUUGGAAACUAGUUGUUUAUCUAGGCUGGGCGUUGCACAGAUCAUUAUAUAAAAAUAUAACUAAAAUAGAGUGGGAAACAUUUUAGCAUAAAUACAACAUGAUUUUAACGUAACAUUAGCCGUAAAAGGUACACAUAAAACUAAACAUCAAAUUACAAAAAAUUAAUUAAUAGAUAAGUAAAAAUUCACAAACAUGAUACAUAAUAUUAUAUAUCAUAAACAUUAUACUAAUUCCAAAAUGUACAUAAACAAUAAUAGAAAUUUUAUCUACCAACUAAUAUGGGGAGAACUUUAAAUUAUGUUAUUAAGCAUAAAAAAAUUGUUAAAAAAAAUGAGUUGCAAUGUAAUAGUAAAAUGAUGAAAAGAGAGGAGAAGGGUGAUGCCAAUAAGUUCAGUGCAUACAUGUCUUGCUACUUUUUUGGAGAAAGCACCAAAACCUUUCUUCUUCUUUUUUUUAAUUAAGAAAAUCGAAUUCUCACGUCUUACGAACCUAAGUGACGCACUUAAAAGAAGACUUUGUUUAAGACGGAGGUUUAUGCAAAAGCAAGAUUUCUUACCAUGACUUUUCGUUGAUUGAUCGUUGCACAGUCAUCACCAAGAGCGUAUAUGCUAUCACAUCCAUCAACUCUCAGCCAUUCAUCAGUGGCAAUCGCACGCCUGUUAGUCUGAUCACGAAUGGCAAAAGGAAUGUUCACAAGCAAGAGAAAGCUGUAGAUGGAGGAAGAAACCAAUUGCUAAGCAACAAACCUGCCCAAUUUGCUUCAUGAAUUCCAUAAUGAAAGGCCGAGUCCCGAUACCAGUAGACCAGACAGCCAUUCCGUAAGGAAGAGAAACAAUGUGGACAGUCCCUCUUUCCUUUAUGGAAAUUUCCUUCUCGGACACUUUGACUACCAUGGAGCCCGUCUUGACAUUGAUGUCCUCUCUUUGAAAUUUCUGUUCCGCGAAAGCAGUGAUUCUUUUGUCAAACCUAAAAUAGUAAGGCCUAGAAGCAUUAGCCACAUAUCAAAGACAGCCAACUUCGUCGCGUGAGAUAUUUUAGGUGAUCAUGCAAGCAAAACAAAAAAGGCCACUGAUCACCGGUUACGUUACUGCUAAUAGAACCAAAAGAGGCAAUUACUGUAAAUGCCUUUUCUUUGGAACUCCCUCUUUGCUAAUCUGCAGCUCGUGAUUUAUUCCAAACGGUCAGCAAUUUAAAUAUAGAAGAAAAGCUAGCUUUUAAAAUGGAGAAUAUAUUUAGUAAAAAAUGUUAUAAAAAGAAAAUAUAGAUUGAAAGGAUCACUGCUGGUCAGAGGGUAAACUGGAGACUUCUACUUUGUGAAGUGCUAAAUUUCUCCAACGACAGGACGAGCAAAACCGGGAGUAAACUUUCCACUUGAUCAAAGAAAAAUUUUGAUGCUAACCUAAGAAACAAAAGUGUAGUCCACACACAGAAACAGAUGAAAUCACAUAAUUCUACUCACAUGUUCAAAAUAUGAUCUGCUUCAAGAAGUGUAAUCUUCAUACGGUUUUUGACUUCUGGAUAUACCCGGGCAAGAUCUUCGCAAAGUCAUGAAGCUCUGCCGCAAAUUCCACCCCUGCUGGACCACCACCAACGACAACAAAAUGCAUAAUCCUAUUCUCACCUUUACUUAAUAAUUACUGGGAACGAUAUGGAGUGGAAUUGAGUGAAGAGAAGCAUAUUUAUGUUUUAACUCAACCCACUAUCCAAUUGAGAAGCACAUUGAUAUGAUGACAAAGUAAAUCAAAUCAACAUCUUAUCUUGGUGAUAUAUACCUUCAAGAAAUGGGUAUUCUCCUCGACACCAGGUGUGUUGAAUGUAUUUGCACGGGCUCCCACAGCUAUUAUGAGAUAGUCAUAAUCUAUUGCAAAUUCUUCUUUCCCUACUAGGUUCGAAGCUUGAGUAGAUUGACAGUAAAUUUUCUUCUUUUCUGCAUCAAUCUCGUAACAUUCAGCUUCUCUAUAUUCACAAUGGGGACCUUUCUGCCAUUAGAUACAAAAGGAACAUCUCAGUCUAUCACCCCAACUUAUCUGGACAAUAACCCAACGAGGAGCCUGAAAGGAGUAUGAGAUCCACAUUUUGUCAAAACUUAUCAAGCAUACAUAUCCAUCCUGUAGGAGCAACACAAUUUGUGCUGGAAAAUGAAAAGAAGAAGAAGCUCAUAAUUCUCUCCGGAAUCUCUGAAAGCACUUCAUUAGUCAUCUGCGACAACUACCUUGCUAACAAUAUUUCGGAUUGGUUCGACAAUACUACGUGCUUCCACCGUGCCAUUUGUGAUUCUUGGUAAGAUGGGCGUGAACGCAAAAUAAUUACGUGGCGCAACUACUUCUACUUCAUUAAUGAAUUCUUCAAAUUCUUCAAAAAGCUGGUGGCAGCCCAUCCGGUUCCAAGCACAACCACCUUCUUUUUGGGGCAUUGACCUUGCGCUGAAUCAGCAUAGGCGACAGGGAAUGGAGUCGUAUCCGAGAAUGCUACUAUACACCCACCACUGCAGCAAAACAGACAUCAAGUUUGCUUUGAGAGAGCAGAGAUCAUUGUGUAGCUACAUGCAUUAUCGGCAACAUUUACGGAUCUAAAGAGCUUAAUUUUACAGAGAGAGCUUGACAUUUGAAGACUAACUCAGAAGUUGAUUUAGUGACAUUUUUCAACAUAGAGCGGCAGAUUGCGAACCCAGCUCAAUUUCCACUAACGAGUAUCUAAUUCAUUUGAUAUAACAGUAAAAGAACCGAAUAGAGCUGUUCGCGAGCGGUAAGCUGUGAUAGCGGCUCACUUGACGUUCCAAACACCUCGCAAAACCAUUACUCUAAACAACAUGCAAACAACAACAACAACCGCAACCGACGCAAGCAUCACGAGGCAUUCAUCAGCAAAAUCUGUUAAAUUAUGUCUUGAGUUUUUCGCUGGAAAAGAGGAAAUAUAAAAAUAAAUGAAAAUAAAGUUUCCUCUUUGCCGCACGGAAGCUUGCGGAAUCCGAAUUGAAGAAAAACAAAGAAGCAGCGUCCCACUCACUCGGCUUUGUAGAAUUAAAAGGGAAAGUCAAAUCUUUCUCUUUUGUUGACCAAAUCUUGGAUUAUGCGAUUUCUUCACGCAUGCAAUUCGCUGGCGGUGGAAUAAAUAAUUCUUUUGCAGGUCUUUUAUUAUUUAGUAAGUGGCCGCUUGAAACCCUACGUGAAAGAGGAGCCGCCGAAGGAUUCACGUGGUGAAGCAGGCCGCCGAGAGGGAGGAAAGCCACGCCGUUUUACUCUGAGUGCUGUGGGUGUUCUGUUCGUGAGAGACAUUCAUAGGUGCUGGGUGCUUGGCUUUGGGUCUUCGUAUUUCUCGUGCGGCAAAACUUAUUCGUGAUUUACAUCCAAGUAAGAUUGAUGUAUUUGGUGUAAUUGGGGUUUGGAAAACACCGAGAGAGUGUUUGAAUGACUUGAGUGUGUAAUCUCUUUGUAUCGCUUGAUCUAUAGUGAAAUUCGCUGCUGCUCUCCCCGUGGACGUAAGUCUUUACAACUGAACCACGUAAAUCCGGUGUCCAAUUUAUUUUAUUCUUUUGUCUAUAUUUUGUUCGAUCGCUCGCCCCAUCGCAACAAAAUCCACGACUCGUCGACCGAAGCAAGACGCGCAGCUACAUCGCUCAUCACGAUGGACAAAACUCGAUCAAGUAGUGCAGGAAAACACCAGAAACGUGACUUUUUCUCUCUAUCCCUGGGAGAGAUCUCCACCAAAAAAAUUAAAAAAACGAACACAUUUGGGUCAUCGUCUUGGUAGACAGCGAUGGAGGCUUUACUAACAUUUUCCAUUUGCUUCACUUACCCCUCCCUUCUAACUUAAUGCACGUGAUACAUGCCCUUGUCUCCUUUCCAUAGCGACUGGUCGCUGCAAACCUUAACAAUCGACACCACAAGUAGUUUAUAGAAAUAAUCUGUUAAGUCAUGUGUUGUUGCUUAAUAAUUGAUUUUCUUCCGUGUGUGUUCCUUAACGGUCAUGUGGAUGUACAAUUUCCUGACAAGUUAUGUAUGGGUGCAAAUUUUGUAUGUAUAGGAGGACAUAAACUUGUUGAAAGCAAUGGGAUGGGAUUUCUUCAGAUUCUCCAUCUCGUGGCCUCGUAUUGCACCUCGUAAGCUCACUCUCAUGCACCCUCCUUUUGUCUUAUUCCGACAUGAUUAGGCUCCUCCUGUUAACAUCAAGGAAAAAUAUGAUCCUUCGUACACCAUGUAGACCAACACCAUUCGGUUCGAGACUCACACAUCGUUAAUGACUCGAUGCGUGUAAUUAUGUGCCUUCCUGACCAUUGUGCCCACAACAGAUUCCUAUAUAUUCUCUUUGGUCUCUCUACAUUUUUAAUGAGUCAUGCCGAAACAAAUAUGAAUUGCGGUUUUUCCCUGUACUCAGCUCUUGUAUAUGCACUAUGAAGCGUAUAAUUAUAUCAUUCGGAUGGUAUCUUUUGUAUACUGGAUGGGAAGAUAAGCAAGGGAGUCAAUGAACAAGGUGUCGCCUUUUACAACAAUCUCAUCGACAGCCUACUUGCUGAGGGUAACCCCUACUGUCUAGUCCUUCACGACUCAUUGAAUUGCUCUUUCCAACGUGUACUAAACUUUGAGCAGGCAUCCAACCUUUUGUGACAUUGUUCCAUUGGGAUGUUCCCCAAGCACUUGAAGAUGAGUAUGGCGGGUUCCUGAGUAUUAAUAUUGUGUAAGCCUUCAAAUAUUGUUGACUUGGAGUUUCUAAAAAUUGUGUGUACACGCAUCCCUUGAACUGAUUGCCGAUCUUAAUCAAGUAACACGUAGAUCAUUUGGGUUAUUUACUAGGGAGGACUACAUUGAUUAUGUAAACUUUUGCUUUCAAAAGUUUGGUGAUAGAGUGAAGCAUUGGGUGACACUAAACGAGCCCAAUUACUUUACAAUGUAUGGGUAUGCGAUGGGCAUCUAUGCACCUGGUCGAUGAUGUUCUAGUUACAUAAAUAACUGCACAGCCGGAAAUUCAGCAACAGAACCUUACAUCGUUGCGCACCAUUUGCUUCUUUCUCAUGCAGCAGCAGUGAAACUGUACAAGGACAACUAUCAGGUACAUGGACACCUAUCUCGGUGUAUUCCCCUUAUUCUUUCGGCAAACUACUGACUUGGAUAUGCAUGUUUGGACUUGACUAAUUGUUUCGUGUUUUGAUACAUAAUCAGGCUGCUCAAAAUGGGAAAAUAGGCAUGGUCAUUGCAACUUACUGGAUGACCCCUAAGUAUUCAACGAUCGUCAGUAGGAAGGUUGCCUCUAGAGCUUUUGACUUUCAGUUUGGAUGGUAUGUAUUUUAUUUAUAAGAAAGUAGGUAGCCUUUAUGAGAUGCUAGAUAAGCAUUAUGAACGAGUCACAGAAGCGACUGAUCUAGCAAUUGUACCUCAACGAACAAGUUCCUCAGCAAUUUUGUGUGUCCCAUUAGUAAGUGCAUUGCGCGUUGAUGAUGCAAGGUUUGCCCAUCCUAGUACCUAUGGUGACUAUCCAAAGUCAAUGAGGAGAUAUGUGGGCGAGCGGUUACCCAAAUUCACGAAAGCACAGUCGGAGGCACUAAAGGGUUCUCGUGACUACACGGGGGUAAAUUAUUACACGGCAAGAUACGUGGACAAAUCCGCAUCCCCUUUUACCACUCUCAAUCUAAGUUACACCACCGAUUGUCAUUGUAAUAUAACCAGUAAGCAUGCACCACCAUUGCCCAAAUAUUUUACCCCUAGUGUUCUUCUUCAAUUGAUUCCCUAACGAACUUUGUUUAUUAUCUAUGAUGCUACUAGUUGAGAAAGAUGGAAUUCCGAUCAGCCAACCGGUAAUGUGUCUACACAAGCAUGAGAAAGAAUUUUAUACAUAAUCAAUUGUUCACGCAUUAAUCACAUGCUAAGCAUAAUGCUAAUAUAGAUAUCAACUAAACAAAAUUGCAGACUGCCGCGGAGUGGCUGUACAUAUACCCAAAGGGUAUCAGAGAGUUGAUGCACUACGUGAAGAAAAACUAUCAGGAUCCGACCAUUUAUGUGAUCGAAAAUGGUAAAUAAAUGUAUCUAUGUCACUAAUGAUGACAUUGCUUGGGUUGACGGAUCACCUAGUAAUUUGCCUUCUAUGCGUUGUUUUGUCCAACCACAGGAAUGGCAGAUGCAAAUAACAAAUCGUUGCCGCUUAAAGAUGCACUUACAGAUAGAUUGAGAAUAAGUUACUUUCAGCUGCAUUUCUCAAAUCUCUCCAAGGCUAUCGAGUAAGUAAUUCGAUAUCAGUAUUGGGUACAUAGAUGGUAAACAAUGAUGAUAUUUGAUAAAAAGUACCAUACACACGAAUUCGUUGUUGACAGGGAAGGAGUGAAUGUAAAAGGAUACUUUGCGUGGAGUUUCCUAGACGACUUCGAGUGGGUGGAGGGUUAUACAACCCGAUAUGGCCUCGUUUUCGUGGAUUAUGGGAAUGAACUGAAGCGAUACAUGAAGCACUCGGCAUGUUGGUUCCAAAGUUUCCUACAAAAGGAUAAUGCAACCGUUAACUACUCCUUGCGGAGCGAUGCCUAGCAGAAGUCACUAAAGCCCAAAUCCGCAAGUCUUCCUCGCUGCUGCGUUUCCAAACCCCGUAGUCCCUUUUGGAUAUUAUAUGUACUGAUGUUCAGUUGGGCUGCUCCUCUCCUUCUCUUUUCCUACUUAAAUGAAAUAGAAGGAUGCAUUUUACACCCAAAAAGAAAAAAUUCAAGACAUCAAGAAUUGCAGGAAGCCCGUCAGUUUGAAGAAUAUCCUUUAGAUUAGGUUUUGUCUGAAUGUGAAUUUCAAAUUCGAAUAAAAUUAGAUUUCCUAAUAUCAUUACUUGUCUUUGAUUCCAAUAAAUAAACAAAAUUCAAUAUGUAUGGCAACUUAAUUGAACCAUGGAAUUAGGAAAAUAAUUUGGACCUUUAACUUCUUAGAGAUAUCAAUGAGAUAUUCAUAAAAGGAAAGCUUACUCCUUAAAAAGAAAAAAAAAAUGGAACCCUGUUGGAUUUAUAUCUUUUUAGUCUAAAAAAUUAUGUUAAGUUCUUCAAAAUUAUGAAAAAAUCGCCACAUUUUAAUUUUUAAAUGAAGUUGAUUUUUCCAAUAUUUUUAUGGAUUCAAGGUGUUCAACACUGAUAAACAUCUUAACUAAACCCCAAAAGAUAAAGAUAAGCCAUUGAAUACUAGAGGCUGAUUAUUUUCAAAGCAAAUAAUAUUUGGUUGAGUAAAUUAUUACAUGCAUGGACUUACUAGUUCAUCUAAACUCUAAGACGUAAAGUUUCGGGAAUAUUCUUCCUAGGUGGAAGACAAAAUUCACCUAGUGAGGGAGGCUUUCGGUGGAAAGGUAGAUUCCCCCAUCUCUUAGUCUCACUGGAAUGCGGCAAUUAUUUUCAAGGCAAAUUAUAUUUGGUUGAGUAAAUUAUCACAUGCAAGAACCUAAGUAUAUCCAUAAACCACUUCACCUGAACUUGUGACGUAAAAUUUUGGAAGUAUUCUUCCUAGGUGGAAGACAAAAUUCACCUAGGAACAGGGAGCCCUCGGGGGAAGUUUGAAUCCUCCGUCUCUUAGUCUCACCUAGGUGCAAUUAUUUUUAAGGCAAAUAAUAUCUCAUUGGGUAAAUUUUUACUUGCUGAGGAGGAUUGCUUCUACAAUUCGAAAAUCUUGUAUUUGACGCACAAGACUCCGAUGUGGCGAGAGCAACGCUCCCAGAGCAAACAACAAAAAGUUCUUGUCUUGGACAAUGACACCGUUUUUUUUUUCCGGUGCCAAGGCCCGCACUUUGUAUGGGCAUGUCAAUAAUCUACUUUUAAACGUGAUUUUAUAUAUAUAUAUAUAUAUAUAUAUAUAUAUAUAUAUUAUUUAAGGUUGUAAUCAUUGAUGGUAAGAAAUACCAAAUAAAAGACAUUAAUCGAUUGAAAAUAGAAAAAUGCGGCUUGAAAGUUUAAAUUCAACGUUUGCAUAAUAGAUGUGUCGUAAAUAGAUCAAAAAAGAAGAUUUUGAAAAUUAUUAGCUUCUUCACAAAUUUAAAUUCUGUUUCCUUUCUAAGAGUAUAUAAUUUUCGCUAUUUUACGUUCAUGUCUUUCAAAAUAUCACUUUUAACCAAUCUUUUGAACGUCUACAGUAAAUCUCCACAUUCUCUUUUUAUUCUAUUCGAACUCUAUUGGAAUUGUAGUGUCUUAAAUAAUCCAUUUAUCAACAAACUAAUAUAUCCAAGCUUACAAUGGUUCUUCUACAUAUCUGCUUAUUAUAUCUAGUACUUUUAUAAGCUAAUUCCAAAAAAAAAAAACACCAAUUUUAGGUUGAGUGAUAAAUUUGGCCAUCAAGUUUGUCAGAUUUUUCUCGUUUCUUGAAUAAGAUAAGAUGCAAAGCCAAAGUCCAGUUGGCCGGAUGGAUGAUUUAAGCAUGGGAUUAAUUGCAUAUCGGUGAGGUAGCCCACGAGAGAAAAUCAAACAUGUUUCAUGCACUUAAUCUUAGUCAAGUAAUUAAAGCACAGGUCUGGUCGUGAAACACGUUGGCAAGCAUUGAAAAAAAAGUAUACUUAAAUGAGAGCAGCGCAGGGACCUGUAGUAUUAUUAUUUUUUGUUGGGGUUGGUCGAGGACCUGUAGUGCGAAAGGCGCAUUUCCCCAGCAGAUCAUGUGACACGCGUUGAUCAUGCGGAGGAAUGAAGGUGAUUACCUGGAUAUCUAUCUGCAUAUCUAUAUAUAUAGUCAUCCAGGUUAAGCACGUUGAUACUCGUGGCGAGAGAGAAGCAGAGCAUAACAGAGAGAAGGAGAAGGAUGGUGAGCAAGAGCGGCAGCUCGCGAGCGAUAACGUGCAAAGGGGUGGUGUGCUGGGGAGCAGAGGAGGAAUGGAGGGUGGAGGAGAUUCAAGUGGAUCCCCCCAAGGGGAGUGAAGUGAGGAUGAAGAUGCUGUUCGCCAGCAUUUGCCACUCCGAUCUCCUAUGCUCCCAGGGUUUCCCUUUGGUCGGUUUCAUCCUUUUCCAUAUAUCCCUUCGCCUCUCUCUGUAUUAUUCUCUCUGCUCUUCUGCAGCACCACUGCUUACUCUUUCUCUGAUUCUGUCGUUAUUGCAGCCGCUUUACCCUCGAGUUCUCGGCCAUGAAGGUGUUGGGUAAAGUCCUUCUCUCUAAUUCGAUUCCUACUAAUUCUUCCUUGUUAGUUUUGUCGAUGAGGCGUUGCAUUCCAUCAGCAUAAGUUACAGCUGAUCUCAACAUGACAUGGCAGGAUUGUGGAGAGUGUUGGAGAGGAAGUAGAAGAGUUGAAGGAAGGAGAUGUGGUUAUUCCCGCGUAUGUUGGAGAAUGCAGAGAGUGCGAGAACUGCAAAUCCGAGAAGACAAACUUGUGCCUCCGAUAUCCGCUCUCUAUGAAUGGCGUGUUGCCGGAUGGCACGUCCAGAAUGUCGAUCCGAGGCCAGGCCCUGUACCACCUCCUCUCUUGCUCCACCUGGUCUGAGUACACGGUCUCCGACGCCAAUUACGUCGUGAAGGUCGACCCUGAUGUAGCUCUCCCGCAUGCUAGCUUGUUGUCGUGCGGAUUCUCCACUGGGUUCGGCGCUGCUUGGAUGGACUCUAAGGUCGAGAGCGGCUCCUCCGUGGCUGUGAUCGGCCUCGGUGCUGUUGGACUCGGGGUAUGUGAUCGGUCGUUUGUGUUACUUACUUGUGUAAUAUAUAAAUGCUGUUUUGAGAGGAUUAAUUAGAGAGAAAGCACGGCAACAGUUCAUUUGAUUUGAUCACGAGCAGGCCAUAGGAGGAGCAAGAGCGCAAGGGGCGACUACCAUAAUCGGCGUGGACAAAAACGGGAUGAAAAAGGACAAGGGAGAAGUCUUUGGAAUGACUCAUUUCAUAAAUCCAGACGAUCACAAGUCUUCCGAUGGCACGCAUUCGAAGUCCAUCUCUGAGAUGGUGAAAGACUUGACGGGCGGAGCUGGCGUGGACUACUGCUUCGAGUGCAGCGGAGUACCCAACUUGAUCAACCAGGCCCUAGAAGCCACCAAAGUGGUGAUGAAUCCAUGUCAUCGCAUCAUCGACAAAAUCACAAUCGCGCAUGCGCGCGCACACUCGCGCACGGCUAAACUUCAUCUCGGCAAGUCUCCUAACUGUAUAAUUUGAUGUGGUCAGGGGAAGGGAAAGGCAGUAGCAGUGGGGGCAGGGCUGAAACAUGUCGUGGAGAUUAAUUUCAUGGAGCUGUUGGUGGGCAGAACGUUGAAGGGAACCAUUUUUGGAGGACUCAAAAGCAAGACCCACCUGCCCCUCCUUGUCCACAAAUCCAAGGACGAGGUUCUGAUCAAGCUCUUUCAUACCCCCACCAGUUUCAGACCUUUACGCGCACAGCCACUUAACUUUUGCUUGCUCUGGUUCUGCAGGAGAUCCCCCUCGAUGAACUUCUGACCCACGAGAUGAAAUUGGCGGACGUGCCGAGAGCACGUGAGGUACUGAAGCGGUCGGACUGCAUCAAGAUUUUGAUCAAGAUUUAGUGCCCUAUUUUAUAUUUUGCCUAUUGCCUCCUGCCCUUACUUUGUCGAACUUCCUAUUACGCUACUGAGCGUGCUUUGUUUACUGUUGCACUCGCUCGUCUGAAACUCCAAUAAGAUAUAAUUGUUGGAGUUCAUGAUACAAUUUCGAGAAAUAUCUAGCAUUUAGAUAUUGUUACAUAGACUCCUCUAGGUAUCUCGACAAAACUCUAGUCUAAUAAUGGCAUUUGGAGCACACGGUCUAGAAUGAAAAGAAAAAAAAAAAAAAAAUCUCUUCACCACAGAGUAUUAUGAACGUUGACAACUCUUAACUUCAAAUUAUCCCCACACCAAGAUUUCCCUGAAGAGUCAUUGAAUGUGUUUCGUCGGUUAUUGACCCUAUAUAAAGGCUUUGUAAUCUUUCAUAAUAAAACUAUAUUUCCUCCUCCCAUCACCUUCAACGCACAAUUAUUACUUUGUUCCCUUAUUUAUUCUCUAUCACAUCACUAAUAAAAAACUGUCAUCAAUAUUAACUCCAUAGUUACGAAACAUAAUUCUAUUUUCGUUAUUGAUGAAAUCGACAAACUAGACCUUGAGUCAGUUCACAAAGCAUGCGACCUUCCAUGUUCAAGUCAAGUAUCUAUCAGACCCAACUCGAACCAAACGGUUCACUGCCCAACUCCUUUCCGCAUCCCAACCUCUCUUUAAGAAAGCUGCAUCAUAAGAUAUGAUGUUUAACCAACUUAUCUUUCCAAUUGCUGCAAUUUGCAUUAGCUUCGCUUAGUCAACCUCCAGAUGUUUAUUGAACUUUUACCCAUUCUUUGAACUGUAAUUUUUCAUUGGAAACUCUUAUCACAAAAGUAUCUUUUAGAAGUUAAACAGAAUAAUUAAGUAAACAAACGCGACAAAGCUGAGGUCGAAGCCGAGUAACAGAGUCACAAGUUUAAACCAAAACAGAACCUCGAUCACUUCAAAUCACACCCCUCAUCCACAGAAAACAAAAGACGACCAACCAUGUCACAAUUGAAUCCAACUUAUCCGGAAGUUCAACAUUUACUGUAAUGUAAUAUAUGGGCUCUUUAAUAAAUAAAUAAAUAAAUAAAAGAAAGAAAGAAAGAAAAAGGAAAAGAAAGAGUUUGAAAAGUCAAAAAGGGAGGCUGAAGAGAAUUGUGGAACCUUCGGCUGGGUUUUAAAAAGAGAGAGAGAGAGAGAGAGAGAGAGAGAAGAGCAUGGGCAGCAGCGAAAGAAACGGGAGAGGAGAGAGAAGAGAAAGGAGAAAGGGAAAAAGGGAAAAAAUUUGGUAUACACGUGAUCCGGACGCCUGAUCAAGCCGACUCAAGUGUGUUUAGUAAUGUCGGUAAGAAAUCGAAGUCUUUAAUCACCUACUUGAAGCAAUCGCCGCAAUUAGGGCUCGAAAUUCGGAUUUCUUGGAUAUUUGUGUGGCGAAAUCCGAUUUUUGAGUCGCCGAGCUGUAUAUUUUUAUAGAAAUGGUACUUUGGGAUGUUGUAAAGCUAUAGCAUCUUUCGGAUCGUGAUUUGAGCUUGCAGUUUGUCCGGAACGGAAUUUUGAAGUUGAGAGUGCAUUCUGGUACUGUAGCGAACAGUAGCUUCGAGCCUUUUUUUGUUGUUUUCGGUACUAUUUUGGGGCGGGUUGAGUUCGGGUUGUUGUACGUUAAGAGAGUUUUCUAAAGACUAUAAGAUAGCUUGAAAAGGAUUUUUGUGGAGGAAGUUAUGGCGUGAUAAAGUUAGCGCUUGCGCUGCUCCUAGCAGGAAAUGAUAGGUUUUUCGAUAAAUGAGAGCUUUUGUGGCGCAUAGGUGUCAUUUUAUCGACAAAUAAGCCUAGUAUAUACGAGUCGUUAUGCGAAUAUCCUUUUUACUCGGCCUUUUGAUAUUGUUUUUCCGUUAAUUGUUAGGAAUCUGAAUGUGUUGGUUCGAGUGAGCGUCGUAGUUGAUUUUUUACUUUUCCUAGAUGAGUGAUACUAUUUAUUCUUUAUAUUUUAAACUCAAUUUUUGAGAAACAUGGUAGAUUAAAUACUUUAUGAGUUGAUAAAAAGCAUAUUUUGUUGCAUAAAACAGGAUCGAGCUAUUACUGACAUUUUUGUUGUUCGAAGUAAGUUAUAUUUUGACGUUGAUUUGAAUGGUUGUUUGAAAAAGGAUUUGUGAAAUUCUUUUUGAAAGAAUUUUGAAAUGUUUUGGAGAAUGCUUUGAUAUUUAUAUAUCAAAUUUUGAGUUGUGAUAUGACUUCUUGGAUUACUAGAUAUUGUGAUUGGUGGUUGGUGCUCAAUGUCGCUGUGGACCAGGGGUGUGUGGGUAUGCGCAUACUAUUUUAGGAUAUCCUUGUGGGCCAAGCCACCAGCUAAUAAUAGGUGGAGACCUUGCCAAGGGGGGAUCUUGGUCGUCUUAUCACGGGCGUUACGCGUGACCAUGGUUAGACAUUUGAGCAUGAAUUGGUCAAUGGGGUGAACCAUUGACGUGUGCUUUGAGUUUGGUCGAUGGAAUAGACCAUCGAUGUGAUUUGAUGAAAUUAAUCAAUGGAAUAGACCAUUGAUGCAUAUUUUAUAAGAUUGACUAAUGGACUGGACCAUUGGUAUCUUUGAUAUUUGAGUUAAGAUUAUGUAUUUGAGUUAUGUUUUAAAUGUGCAUAGUGAUUUUUUGAUCCGCUUAGAAGAAAUGUGUUAUUCACUGAGCCGUGAUAACUCACUCAUUUCUUAUACUUGUUUUUCAGGUUCUUCAGCAAGUCGCGAGUAGGUGUGAGCGUUCGCUCAGGGAGGUCUUGGGGAGGUCUUUUGUGGUGAAAAAUUUUUGGUAUGACUUGUGCAUAGUUAAUAGGUUUAUAAGUUAGUCUUUAUAGAAGAUUUAUGUUUUGAUUUUUGUGGAUUAUAGAUAUACUCUGAUAUUGUAACCAAUUGCCCCUUUUUAUCAAAUAUAUAUGUGGAUGUAUAUAUAUUGAUAUCGGGUUGAAUUUUGGUUACGUUGAGACUGCGUCCUUUAGUAAAAGGACGGCUGUGUCAUGCCCCUUCUUCUUGUGAAUCAGGGUGUGACAUUUACAAUGGGUGAUGUUAGCUUGCUAAGUGCUAAGUAUCCCCAAACUCCCACCGUUUUAUCCUGGAUCGAGGUUUCCUGUUUGUCGACAUUUUGCUCCACGGCCUGAUCUCAUCACACAUUCCGCAGAGAAGAUACCGCACAUCUACAAGGUAAGGGAACUCCUCUCUCUCUCUGACCUCAAUUACAAAUCCCGUCCCAAUUCCCAUUCUCCAAACUUCAUGGCAGUCGCCUUCAAGCACAAGCCAUCUACAUUUCUCUUUCUUUAAUAAUACCAUAAGAUGCUAUACCGGCGCACUAUGAGUGUUACACAAGAAUUAAAUAAGAUUUGACACCUCAAAGGCAGAUGAAUUUGAAAAAUAGCUAAAAUCCCCGACAAAUAGAAUUCUUACAGAUGCGCACCUGAAGAAUCGGCAAAUUUUCGUAGUUGGCCAGUGGAAAGACGUGCUCAAAUGGCACACGCAACAGUCAGAGAGAUUGUGGCAUCAUUCAUCGAUGCUACAAUAUAAUAAUCCAAUGGUCGCUUUGGCCAAAUAAAGGGGGAAAAAAGGUCGAAUCCCAAUGAUCACUGGAAAGAUCAAGAAUCUUCUAAAGAAAAAGACUAAAAUAAAACAAAGAAAAUCUUCUUCUUAUGUGUACUGCGUGUAAGUGAACUAAGAUGACGUGUGGACAACAUUGUUAUGACACGUCCUCUUUAGACGUGAUUUUCUUCUUAAAUUCGACUCGAAUCUCUGCCGAAAAUGAAUCGCCGUCCCCAGUCAGAGACCACCAGCACUCUGGUGCGCCAGCUGACUAAUUUGCUGUUAAGUUUCACAAUACCAUCAAAGGAUUGAGUGUACUAAGAAUCCGUACAUCAAUUGCACAUGCAAAUUACAAACUUACCUUGCAUAAACUGAAUACCAGAGCCACUGGGUACUGUGGCCAAUCGAGACCCAAUCCCCUGGUAGCUCAGCUGCAGUUUGUUCUCCGCCCAAGGGUGCAAAUUGUCCGAAAUGCUUGUAUCUUAAUGAAUGAUUAGACUUUCAACCAUCACGGGGACAUAACUCCACCGUCUACUUCUAAUAUGUGGGUUGGAGAAAAGUGUUACCAUGCAACGGUUGAUGUUAUGUCACAUCAGCGCUAACACUCACCAAGAUAUCUAUUUUGCAACACACAUGUUUCUUUUGCAAAAUAAUUCAUCAAAAUUCAGACCUGUUUGUCUGCGAUGAUCCUUAUGCAGUAUUAGCAUCAAAUGAUGUACCUCGAAGAAAGGCUAAUUAUUCUCUUAUUUGUGUUUGACUGGGAAAAGAAAGAUUAUAUAUGGGAGGCUUGAUGAUAUAAAAGAAACAACAGAGCGACAUACGUAUCCCAACCAGUAUGUCUAUGCAUCCAGAGAACAUAUUGGUUGGUGGAGAUGGUGUCAAUAAGAACAAUGGACCGAUUCAUGAUUAUGACAGAUCUACUUAAAUAAUCUAACCUGUUGAGGUUCAUUCUGUAGUACAACUGUAACAUAAAGCACUUGUUUUCCUGGAAGAGAAGCUUAUUGUACCUGAAGGGAUGAAACCGAUGACGUCCCGAUGCCCUGAACCUCAGAGGACCUUUGGGAUUCUUUUCGCACUCAUCCAUGCGAUUGAAACAGUCAGCGAGAUAUUCACCUUGUUGAGCAGCCACCUUUGCCAUUUACAGCACAUGUAGAUGUUGGUACUAUAAAACAAGAACGACAAAAAGAAGAAAGGAGAAGAGAGUAAUUGUACUUGAGCUGUUGCAGGAAGAUUUUUCAUCUGAGAAUCCACUUCAGCAAGGGCUAACUUAAACAGUUCAAUAUCCAGCUGGAGAGUUUGUGUUUGGCAGUCAGCAUGCUUGAGUGGAUCAAAAAAGUUCCUCAUGUUUUUCUUCUUCAAGUAUAGCUGCACUUGUGGAUACCGUUCGCAGAUGUCCGCAACAACUUCUUUUGCAUCUUGUAUACUCAGCUUACCUGUCUUAGACUUAGCUUGUUAACUUGGAUAAUGAAGAAUAACAGAAGGCAGGACUGUUUGAUGUGUUCUCUCCCUUUUUCCAUCCUAUCAUUACAGUGAAAGGUCUGUCCAGUAUUGUGGUGAUCUCAGCUCAAAUUGUGUUUUCUCCUUAAAUAUGCUUUUCAUAUGGUACAAAAAUUUAGUUAAGAUGCUUGUGUAGGAGCCAUAUGCAGAUUGAAAUUUAUUAAUGGGAACAUAAAUUUUGAGAGCUACGGAAUAUGGACUCCUGCCACUUCAGAGGUAUGGAGAAUUGUGUCAGGAUGAUAUAUCAAAAAAGUUUAAUUUGUGAAUUUGGAGUAUAUGCGCCAUAAGUUUGGAAGGUGAUACUUUGUGGUGGACAGUCAGAGUCCCAAUGUUUGAAGAGGCCGAAAUUUUUUGCCUUUUAUACAUGUGGUAAUUGGGGUUGCAUCUAUAAGUAAUUUGUAAGAAAGGCAAUUUUUAUUUAUGAAAGUUGAAAUGUUUGUUUGUUUUUUUUUUUUCAAAUUCUCAGGUUUGAUGAAAGAAUCAGUUCAUUUGCUGAGCAGAAGUUCCAAAGGGACGGCAUUGAUGUCCGUACUGGUUGUCGAGCUCUUGGGGUUUCAGAAAAGUCGCUUUCUGUGAAGGUGAAAUCCCAUGGAGAGGUUUACUCGAUUCCUCAUGGAUUGGUUGUUUGGUCAACUGGUGUAGGGACUCGUCCAGUAGUGGGCGACUUCAUGGAGCAAGUUGGUCAGGUUUGUGACAUACUGCCACGCAUGCAUGAAAUGGACUCUAAGAAACCGUGACACUGAACGUGCAGGAUUAUAUCUAUUGCCUUAGUGCCCUCAACCUACGGCUACACAUCGAUUCCUUCUCUUGCCAUGUCUCAACUACUGAUAUGCUGUAUCAUUGUUCUUAGCAGAAUGAUUUGAGAUUUUGCUCAAUCUGCAGGGUGAUAGACGAGCUCUUGCAACUAAUGAAUGGCUACGGGUGAAGGGCACUGAAAAUGUCUAUGCCCUAGGUGAUUGUGCUGCAAUAGACCAACGUAAAAUAAUGGUAUAUUUUUAACUGAUGUCUGUUUUAUCGUAUGUUCAUAUGGCUGGAUGUGUCGGUCUCUGUCAGUUAGCAGCACUUACACUUAAAAGUAACAUUUCUCAGUCAUUCCUGUCCAACUCACUGGGAGAUUGAAGAGCGGUUUGCACUUUGCGCCCCAGCCCCCAACACUUAAAAGUAACGUAUCUCAGUCAUUCACAUGGAUGGCCUCAUUGUGGAACUAGCAUGAAAAUGCUUCUCGUGUGAAACAUCAGAUUGGUUAAUGUCUUUGGAAGUUUAUUUUCAGUUCAUAUUAAUUGACCACAUUACAUCAUGCAUGGGUUUCUUGAUUAGCACAUGGUUCCCCUUUGAAAGAGCAUCUUGAUCCUGUCCCAUUUAUCUUAUUCUUCUCUAGCGGAUAUACAUGAUAAGUUGCCUAUCUUUAACAUGUGGCAUGAAAAUACUUAGUGAAAUAUAAGUAUUUAUCUUCCACAAUGUGAUGUGGCUGUCGUACAGCACCAAAUAGUACUGAUCAUUGUUACUAGCUUAAAUAAAGCAAAGCUGCAUUUUACAAACUCUUAAUUUUCUACUAAUGGUAAUAUUGACCUGAGAGAUGGUAUUUAUCAUCAUUGUACUCUUGUUUUCUCCUUCUAAAUUAUGAUUACUACAUUUGAUAUACUCAGGAGGACAUCUCGAGCAUAUUCAAGGCUGCAGACGAGGAUAACUCUGGCACUUUAACUGUUAGUGAAUUUCAAGAUGUUGUGGAUGAUAUCCUCAUACGGUAUCCCCAAGUGGAACUAUACUUGAAGAGCAAGCAUUUGAAGGAUGUAACCGAUCUGCUGAGAUAUCCAGAAGGCAAUGAGAGAGAGAGAGUGUAGAUACUGAAGAAUUUAAAUCGGCCCUUUGUCAUGUGGAUUCACAGGCGAAGAGUCUGCCAGCCACUGCUCAGGUGAUAGUUUUGGAAGUCUCUUUCAAGUAAAAUUUGCUGUGGCUUCUUUCUUGCCACCAUCAUAGAGGCACUUAAAUCAUCUAAUGCUUUCCUUUCUAGGUCGCUGCUCAACAAGGAGCUUAUCUUUCAAGGUGCUUCAACCGGAGACAGCAGUGUCAAGAACUUCCUGAAGGUCCAAGACGUUUUACUGGUGCCGAGCAGCAUCAAUUUCGUCCUUUUCGGUAUGUUACAUUUUCACUAUGUUUAUCUUUUUUCAUCGAUGGGAAUUAUAGAUGAGUUUGCUAUAUAUAUAUUUGUUUCCUUUCCACUCCCGACAACUGAUUUCUUUUUAUGUGGUCAAAAAAUAAAGGUACAAGCAUUUUGGAACGUUUGCUCCUUUGGGAGGAGAGCAAGCUGCUGCUGAACUUCCCGGAGACUGGGUAUCUAUGGGUCAUAGUACUCAAUGGCUGUGGUAUUCUGUAUAUGCGAGGUGCAAAAUCCCUUCAUACAUUGGUAAAAAUAUCAUUUGAUGUUUUGUGUUGCGACAUUUAAAGCUUUUCCCUUUUUCUUCAGCAAGCAAGUAAGCUGGCGCACACGGGUGUUGGUUGUAUCCGAUUGGACACGAAGAUUUGUUUUCGGAAGAGACUUGUAACAUCCCGGGCCCCACUUUGUAAUAUUGUCUACUUUGGGUCACCGCCCUGGCGCGAACGAACCGCUAUCCCAGCCACAGUCUUUUCUCUCACGGCUUUAAAACGCGUCCUUAUAAGCUAACCGAGACCUCCCUCCCUAGGCGAUGUGGGACAAAAGAGGAGGCUGUCACACUCUCCACCUCUUAACAGAAGAGCGUCCUCGCUGUGGCCUCACGGGCGUCAAAACAGCAUUCAAGCUGUGGUCCCACACGCGGCCCACGGGCGUCAGAACAGCAUUCGAGCUGUGGUCCCACACGCGGUUGGGAGUUGGCUCUGAUACCACUUGUAACAUGGCCCUACUGUGUAAUAUUGUCCGCUUUGGGUCACCCGCCCUGGCACGAACGAACCGCCAUCUGAGCUGUGGUCCCACACGCGGUCGGGAGUCGGCUCUGAUACCACUUGUAACAUGGCCCCACUGUGUAAUAUUGUCCGCUUUGAGUCACCCGCCCUGGCGCGAACGAACCGCCAUCCCAGCUAUGAUCUUUUCCCUCACAGCUUUAAAAGGCGUUACACAUAUUAGAGGGACCCAAACCUUAUAAGCUAACCAAGACUUUCCUCUCUAGGCGAUAUGGGACAAGAGAUGAGGCUAUCACACUCUCCACCUCUUAACAGAAGAGCGUCCUCGCUGUAGCCCCACAGGUGUCAGAACAGCAUUCAAGCUGUGGUCCCACAUGCGGUAGGCGAUAUGGGACAAGAGACCCAAACCUUAUAAGCUAACCAAGACCUCCCUCUCUAGGCGAUAUGGGACAAGAGAGGAGGCUAUCACACUCUCCACCUCUUAACAGAAUAGCGUCAUUGCUGUGGCCCCACAGGCGUCAGAACAGCAUUCAAGCUGUGGUCCCACACGCGGUCGGGACGCCAUCCCAGCUACAGUCUUUUCCCUCACGGCUUUAAAAUGCGUUACACAGAUUAGAGGGACCCAAACCUUAUAAGCUAACCAAGACCUCCCUCCCUAGGCGAUGUGGGACAAGAGAGGAGACUAUCACACUCUCCACCUCUUAAUAGAAGAGAGUAGCAUUCAAGCUGUGGUCCCACACAUGGUCGAGACGCCAUCCCAGCUACGGUCUUUUCCCUCACGGCUUUAAAAUGCAUUACACGCACACUCUCCACCUCUUAAUAGAAGAGAGCAGCAUUCAAGCUGUGGUCCCACACGCGGUCGAGACGCCAUCCCAGCUACGGUCUUUUCCCUCACGGCUUUAAAACACGUUACACACAGAUUAGAGGACCCAAGCCUAGACCCAAACCUUAUAAGCUAACCAAGACCUCCCUCCCUAGGCGAUGUGGGACAAUAGAGAAGGUUAUCACACUCUCCACCUCUUAACAGAAGAUAGUCCUUGCUGUGGCCCCACGGGCGUCAAAACAGCAUUCGAGUUGUGGUCCCACACACGAUCAGGAGUCGGCUCUGAUACCACUUGUAACAUCUCGGGCCCCACUGUGUAAUAUUAUCCGCUUUGGGUCCGUGCUAGGGACGAACCGCCAUCCUAGCCACGGUCUUUUCCCUCACGGCUUUAAAACGCGUUACACAAAUUAGAGGGAACCCAAACCUUAUAAGCUAACCAAGACCUCCCUCCCUAGGCGAUGUGGGACAAGAGAGGAGGCUGUCACACUUGUAACAUCCCGGGCCCCACUAUAUAAUAUUGUCCGCUUUGGGUCACAUGCCCUGGUGCGGAUGAACCGCCAUCCCAGCCACGGUAUUUUUCUUCACGGCUUUAAAACGCAUUACACAGAUUAGAGGGACUCAAACCUUAUAAGCUAACCAAGACCUCCCUCCCUAGGCGAUAUGGGACAAGAGAGGAGGUUGUCACAAGACUCGAGCCAUAUUUGAGGUGACGAAUGAGACAUGUAAAUAAUGUUGAGAACCAAAGGAAUGUCGCUGUUGGACAUGGAAGACUGCUUUUGGCUUCUUCUUCCAAGUGUGAUUGGCCAUGUAAUCUUAUGUCUUUCUGCAAGUUAGUGGGAGGUGAAAGCAUUGCCCCUUAAAUCAUGUCAUGUAGUAAGUAGAUCAAAAGUAUGUUGUGAUGUUGCCGAAAAGUUUAGUUGAAUGCUCUCGGACAAAGGUGCUCAUCGUGUUUGCAAAACAUGUAUUGGCUCUGUUCAUUGUAACAUUGGGGGCUCAGUGAACUUGCCUAGUUGACUAAAUCUGUGUAGUCAUGCCACUACCAUGUGAAGGCAGGCGUCCUGCUAGAGAACUGGAUACGAGGACCAGUAAAAUUCCAGGCAAAUAUGGUAGACUGCCACAUUCCUUCUUUGGAGUUGAGACAUCUCUAAAUGAAUUGCAUUAUUUUUUGAGAAGAGAGAGGAGAAAGAGGGUAAUGCAACGUUAUAAUCGAACUUUAAACUCUAUUAAUAUUUCAAUUAGUUGUCUGAUUCCUUUUUUCACAGGCUAAUGGUAAUUUUAGCUUAAUUAUUCAAUCUGAAAGCAUUCAGAUUAAGGGUGAUUGGUUUCAGCAUGAAUAGCUUCCAAACUUAAAAACUGAAAUUAGAAAUUUAUUUUGUCGAGCUAGUUCCAAUUUUUUAUAUUGGAACCAACUCAGUUCCAAAUUGACCGGUUUUAGGAUCAAUCCGGAAAUUGGCUGAGUUUCUUUUUCUUUCUGUUCCUUUUCAUUUUAUUAUACAGAUGAUGUGCAUUUGUGCAAAUUUGAAUGCAAUUCUUUCUAAUUGAAGAUACUAUCAACAGAUAUUUACUUUUAAUAAAUAUUUUUGUUCCAAAAGAAAGAACCUUUCCUAACAAUCUCUAAAAUCGGCGAGGGGAGAGAGAGAGAGAGCACCAACUUUCUUCCAUUUGGUUCCGCAUUUUCAGACCCUUUUCAACAUCAGAAUUUCCGAAUCUUCCCGUGUUUAAAGGAAGCAACUUUAUGUUGCUCCUUUUCAUUUUUCAACUCGUAUCAUCCUUUUUCUCCAUAUGCCUCGAGGAUUCCAACCAUUUCUUCUAUCAUCGUGUGUAGGGAGAAUCCUCAUCGGUCCUCGAGGAAGAAGGUGUAUAGUUUCCCUCGGACUGUCCCAUCUUUAGUUGGACAAAGUGUCAAGUCAAUCUCGCAGUCUUGUUUAGCCUCAUGGCAUCCAUAUUCCAAGCGCUUUGUAUUCCCGCCCUGCUAGAUGCGUCAUUCCACCUAUAUUUACCAUUUUCCUCACAUAGAAAGUUUUAGUAGGAAAAAUUAUCCAAAAAUUCCUAAACUUAUUAUAUUUACCCAUUUAAUUUUACACAUUUUAACUAUGUCAAUUGAGUUGUGGACUUUUUUAUGUUUUGCUAAUAGAAUCUAUUCAAUCAAUUUUGAUUGAAAAUCGCUGACAUAAAUGUUGGAUGCCUUACGUAACAUAAACAUUUUUAAUAAUUUUUUAAAUUUUUUCUCAAAUAGUCAUCUAAGAAAUGAUCAGCCCAACGCAUACCCCCUAACCCAAUUUCUAGAAGAAUUAAAACCACAAUUUCUUGCUCUGCCCAGCUUACCAUAUGUACAAUAUCUUAGACCCUGCUUUCAAUGUGUACACAUAAAUGAAGUCGCCGCAUCUAGUCUCAAAAUCCUUCUUCAAUCCUCUUCACCUGCUGAGCCUUGCUCUCCCCAAAUUCCUUGGCGGCGUCAUA